UCGUUGUUGUUGUCGUUGUUGUUGUUGUUGUCGUUGUUGUUGUCGUCGUUGUUGUUGUUGUUGUUGUCGUUGUUGUUGUUGUUGUCGUUGUUGUUGUUGUUGUUGUUGUUGUUGUUGUUGUUGUUGUCGUUGUCGUUGUCGUUGUCGUUGUCGUUGUUGUUGUUGUUGUUGUUGUUGUUGUUGUUGUUGGUGUUGCUGUUGNNNNNNNNNNNNNNNNNNNNNNNNNNNNNNNNNNNNNNNNNNNNNNNNNNNNNNNNNNNNNNNNNNNNNNNNNNNNNNNNNNNNNNNNNNNNNNNNNNNNAUUUAAAGAAAAAAUUAAAAGAUGGCAUGAUAAAAGGAUGCGAAAGUAGGAAUUCGAAGUUGGAGAAUAUGUUCAUUUGUACAAGUCUCUUUUAGAUUCUUUGCAGGAAAACUUCUCCCUAAAUGGGAAGAUGUGACGACCCGAGACUGACCCUCGAGACGCCUUCCAUAUUUUCGUUGUUGCCGCUUUAAUUAUUUUGCUUGUUGCAUUUCAUCAUGGCAUCAUGUGCAUUGCAUAUGCAUGUUUUCAUAAAACUUGUAGUUGUUGCUUAUUUCUUUGUCUCCGUUGAUCUUCUCUCGGACCAACCGGACCGCUCUCUUCUCUCUUGUUCUAUGAGCCCAACAAAACCCCCCUCACGUGCGCGUCUGAAAACUGUCCCAAGCCCGAACCGGGCUAUCGUUACCGAUGAGUCCGGAUCAUCUCCAAACAUCCCUAAAACAUCUUCCAUUUAUUUAUAAGAUUCCCUGGCAUAUUUAUUCUCGACCGUCCGAUCUAAUCGGAGGGUCCAAACUUAACCCUCUUUCCCUAUAUAUAUGGUCCACCUAUAUACCAAACUAGUCCAACCCUAACCUAACCCUAAUCCCCCUUGCGCCGCCACCCUCUCCCCCCUGUUCCUUGGGAUCCCUCCCAAUCCACCAAUUUGCCCUACCGGCCACCACUCCCUCCUUCGUUUGCAGCACCUGUACCAACUUUGAAAUAUGCAUAUGGGGAUUUUCUAGAAUUGUUGUUUGUCGUUUCCAGCCUCAUUUAACCUUGACUAAAUAGUUAGAUUAAUUAUGCUUCAUCUCUUGCCAUGUUAAUCAACAUUUAAUAUUGAUGGGUAGCAUAAACGAGAGUGUACUAAAUAUUUAAAUGUGGUGUUUUGUCAAUAUGCAACUGGGUUCAUAUUGAGGACCACUUAAUUUGUAGUGUUGUUUGUUGCACUUUGCCAUGCCAUGACUCAUUAAACCGGGCAUGCAACAUACCUGGUUGUGCAUCAUGCCAUGUUUAUGCUUGUUGAUUUACCAUGUUGUUUGCUUCUUUCCGGUUAUGAUUCUUCGUGAUAGUUCCGUUUAAGUUGCGAUUGUGAGGAUCCAUUCGACUACGUUGGUUCGUCUACUUCAACGAUUCGGUCUUCUUCCUAGCAGGAUUUCAGGCAAGAUGACCAUUACCUUGGAUACCACUACUAUCUUUGCUUGCUAGUUAUCUCGAUGCUAUCGCCAUGUCGCGCUACCUAUCACUUGUUUAUCAAGCCUCCCAAAUUGCCAUGAACAACCUCUAACCUUUUCCACAAUCCCAACAAACCGUUGUUUGGCUAUGUUACCACUUUGCUCAGCCCCUCUUAUAGCGUUGCUAGUUGCAGGUGCAGCUCAGGUUAUUUCAUGUUGGGACAUGGAUAUCAAAAUAUGUCUUAUUUAAUUAAUGCAUCUACAUACUUGGUAAAGGGUGGAAGGCUCGGCCUUUUGCUUGGUGUUUUGUUCCACUGUUGCCAACCUAGUUUCCGUCAUAUCAGUGUUAUGUUCCACGAUUGAGCGCCCCUAACAUGUGUGGGGUUUUAUGGGGACCCCUCUGAUCAUUCGUUUAGGUUUAACUCUUCCAGCAAGGCACAACAUUGGUUUUACCAUUUACCUAAUAACAACUAAAGGUUGCAUAGGGACUUUCCGGGCCCUGUGGAUUUUCAAUCAACAAACUGGUCCAAUGCUCCUCAUGAGUGUUGGUCCACCUACCUAGUAGUCGGCGGUGUCGCCUCAAGGCAACUCGAUGGUAUUUAGGCUAUCGUACACUUUGCAUAGAUGGUUGUGUCCUGACCAGGAUUCCUUAUCGUAAUCAUGGUGUUCUUCAUGGUGUGAGGAUGUUCCAUCGGAUGCGUGUGGUAGCUUGUGAUGGAUUAAUUUGGAGUACCCCUGCAAGGUUAAAUCUUUUGGAAGUCGUGCCCGUGGUUAUGUGGCAGAUUGGAAAUUUAUAAUAUCCAUUUGUAGAGAACUUGUCACCAGAUCUGAAUUAAAAUAGACCAACCGUGUGCGUAACCGUGACCGUCUCUUUUUCAGUGAGGUUCGAGAAGAGAACAUGGUGGGGUUAUGUUUGACUCGUAAGUAGUUCAGGAUCACUUCUUGAUCAUUACUAGUUUGCGACCAUUAUGUGUAGUUUCUCUUCUUACUCUUGUACUCGUAAGUUAGCCUCUAUACAAUGCUUAGUGCUUGCUGCAAACCUCACCACUUAUCCAUUCCAUGCCCAUUAAGCUUUGCUAGUCUUGAUACCCAUGGUAAUGGGAUUGUGAGUCCUCGUGGCUCACACAUUACUACAACAACAGGUGCAGGUACAGGUAAAGUGAUGCUUUGACGUGAGACCGAUGCUUGCUUGUUUUGGAGUUCUUCUGCUUCUUCUUCGAUCAAGGGAUAGGUUCCGGGUUGGGAGCCUAGGAUUAGCAGGGUGGAUGUCGUUCUUCUUCUUCAUUUGAUUUCAUCCGUAGUAGGAUCCUGCUCUUCUAUAUGAUGAUUGCUAUGUAUUGAUGUAUUCAUGUAUUCAUGUUGUAGCCUGUGGCGAGUGUAAGCCUUUAUCUUGUAUUCUCAUCUAUUAAAUACAUGGUAUGUUGUAUUGAUAUCCACCUUGCUAUGUGCUCAAAAUGCGGUUGUGCCCCAAUCAUGAGUUCAUCACGUGAUUGGGAUAGAAUCGCAUCUUGGGCGCUACAAGUUGGUAUCAAAGCCCUACUGACCGCAGGAGCCACCUUGAUUGAUCAAGUCGUUGUCGCUGUUGAGUCUAGAAAAAACUAUUUUGAGUCUAGUUAUAUCGAAGAGUAGGAAUUCUUUUUAUACUCCUCAUCCCCUUCGUCGCUUAGGUGAGGAAUCAUGACGUAGGUGUUUUUGUUUCCAUUACUCUCCUUUUUCACUCAUUUUUUAGGAUCAUGCGGGUAUUGUGGAAUUGGUCUGAUAUCAUUGUCACGGGAACUCUAUUCUUGGUGCCUCUUGUUAUUUAGGGGUUGUGGCAGUGUCCCGGGGAGUUGAGCUCCAAGGUGUUUUCGUCGCAGUGCUUAUCNNNNNNNNNNNNNNNNNNNNNNNNNNNNNNNNNNNNNNNNNNNNNNNNNNNNNNNNNNNNNNNNNNNNNNNNNNNNNNNNNNNNNNNNNNNNNNNNNNNNNNNNNNNNNNNNNNNNNNNNNNNNNNNNNNNNNNNNNNNNNNNNNNNNNNNNNNNNNNNNNNNNNNNNNNNNNNNNNNNNNNNNNNNNNNNNNNNNNNNNNNNNNNNNNNNNNNNNNNNNNNNNNNNNNNNNNNNNNNNNNNNNNNNNNNNNNNNNNNNNNNNNNNNNNNNNNNNNNNNNNNNNNNNNNNNNNNNNNNNNNNNNNNNNNNNNNNNNNNNNNNNNNNNNNNNNNNNNNNNNNNNNNNNNNNNNNNNNNNNNNNNNNNNNNNNNNNNNNNNNNNNNNNNNNNNNNNNNNNNNNNNNNNNNNNNNNNNNNNNNNNNNNNNNNNNNNNNNNNNNNNNNNNNNNNNNNNNNNNNNNNNNNNNNNNNNNNNNNNNNNNNNNNNNNNNNNNNNNNNNNNNNNNNNNNNNNNNNNNNNNNNNNNNNNNNNNNNNNNNNNNNNNNNNNNNNNNNNNNNNNNNNNNNNNNNNNNNNNNNNNNNNNNNNNNNNNNNNNNNNNNNNNNNNNNNNNNNNNNNNNNNNNNNNNNNNNNNNNNNNNNNNNNNNNNNNNNNNNNNNNNNNNNNNNNNNNNNNNNNNNNNNNNNNNNNNNNNNNNNNNNNNNNNNNNNNNNNNNNNNNNNNNNNNNNNNNNNNNNNNNNNNNNNNNNNNNNNNNNNNNNNNNNNNNNNNNNNNNNNNNNNNNNNNNNNNNNNNNNNNNNNNNNNNNNNNNNNNNNNNNNNNNNNNNNNNNNNNNNNNNNNNNNNNNNNNNNNNNNNNNNNNNNNNNNNNNNNNNNNNNNNNNNNNNNNNNNNNNNNNNNNNNNNNNNNNNNNNNNNNNNNNNNNNNNNNNNNNNNNNNNNNNNNNNNNNNNNNNNNNNNNCAGUGAUCUUCUCCAUGGCCUCUUCAAAAUUGUUCAGCACAUCUUGUACCUGUUCAGUCAUCAUUUGCUGAAACUUAUCAUGAAGCUCCUUGUUCGAUAAGUUCUCCCAGUCAAUCUCGUCGGCUUGUGAUCCUGGCAUGGUUAGCAGCAAUAGAAACACACAAGAAUAUGAUCCUACAGACUACUAAGAAGUGGUGGUGGUGUAUCACAAAUCCGUCAAGCAAAUCUCAAAUUCUUACCAGUUCUUACCCAGCAGCAGGCGGUGAUCGGCAACCGUUGUAGUCAAAAACUCUCAAAGCGUGGAUAGAGCGAUUACCAGGGAGAGUCGAACACACGACGUAGAUGUAUGUGGAGCUGGGAAGGCUUAUAGUAUGGUAGCAAAAAGGGUCAGCAAUAAUCAAUUCAGAGAUGCAAAGUUGAAUAAACGCUCAACGACGGUACUGUGCUGGUCCUAGGCUAGACUGUGCUAGAGACGCGAGCCUAGAACACCAACAAAAUCACGGUGCGGCACGUAAACAAGGGAAAAGCACACUCUGAAUUAUUUUUUUUUCGCUUUUUUUUUGCGCUCUUUUUUUUUGCGCUUUUUUUUUGCGAAAAAUCACUAUAAUGGCGAGUGUCUCAAAACUCUUCCUAGCUCAAACUGACAGGAUGGGCACGAAAUUUUUCGACCAAUUUUUUUUUUUCGACUGCCCGGACCCAAAAACUGGAAACGGGUCAAAAAAAACUUCCUAUAAUGGCACCUGUCUCAAAACACUCAGAAACACCUAAAAAUAGGAUAGCCAGAAAAUUUUUCGAAAAAUGCGUUUUCGAAAAAUUUUGGGCCUAAACGGAGCGUGGCUACCCGACUCCGGCAAGGAAACACGUACGCGUUUUCGAAAAUGCGUUUUCGAUUUUUUUUUUCCAAAACCUACUCCGGCAAGGAAACACGAAUCGGAAUCUAGAUGGAUCUCGAAAACAAACCUAAUAAGCAAGGAACUCGGAUUGGUGGUGGAUAUAUGGUGGUGGUAUAUGGCAGCGGUGGUGGUAGCGGUGGUAGUAUAUGGAUAUGGAUCGGUGGUGGUAUAUGGACACGGAUUCGGAGCGGUGGCGGAUAAGCGGUGGUGGUAGAUGGCAGGGGCGAUGAUGAUGGUGCGGCGGCGGCGUGACAACUUAUGACCAGAACUCGAAACUCUAAAAGACUAGACGCUAAGACCAGCAACUAGACCGACGAUGCAACCGCAAAUUCAACAAAGCAAAACCCUAAAAAGAUUAUGCAAAGGCUCAGAUUGGUUCGGAUAUGAUGAACUAACCCUAAUUUUUUUGUGUGGCUUUUUCGUGGACUGUAGGUAUGAAGAACAGACUCGAUCUAAACUACGAAAAACUGUAAAAUCUCACCGAGCAACCUGGAAAUCUGAUACCACUUGAUAGAGGCAAAGGUGUCCCGUCUUUCGAUGAGAAGGUGGAUUUCGCUUUGGUGGAAGUCGACUUUGACGAUCCGACUACGAACGUGCGAGGACGUCGCGCCUUAGCAAUCACUAAACCAACUCCGAGAGGUUAUUGACCACGCCGGGGCACGAUCAACCUGACCACGAGGGUCUGUUUCCUGCGAGCAAACGAAGAACAAGCAAGAAACUAAGAUUGCAAUCUGGAUAUUGCGAAUAUAAGAUGAAAGCUUUAUUGAUCAAGGUGGGGUUCUGUGACGCCUUUGUCUGGUCGUUGAACACAAACGAAGUACGCGAAGUUGCAGCUAUGGCGAACUUUUAAUCUAAACAAAACCCAAAGUCUAAACGAUGCCCUAAGGGCUGUAUAUAUGGAGGAAGAGGGGGGAAUUUCGUGGCCCUUGGUGGAGGGGUCCGAAAUCAACCCUAUCUCUUGUUUCCCCACACAUACGGGCUCUAAAAAUAGCCUAUACUUAUGUAUUUCGAAAUUACAUGGGCCUGGCCCAAUAAUAAGGUGACGCAGCACCUAAAAUAGCCUCUGGACGAAAUUUAUGAAGUGGCAUCUUGUAUAUUUCGUCCAAGGCUUCAUGCACCCAUUAUGGUGGCUUCAAAGUCCUGAAAUCAUCACUUGUAACUCCGUUCUUGUUCCCCUUGCGCAUGCCAUCAUCUCCAUGCUUGUUCUUGCUCCAAUGUUCAUCCUUCUCCAAGCUAGGCCCUUCAUUUGUAAGCAAAACAAAUGUAUCCAAUUUAGGCAGCAUCAUAUUCUCAUGAACAUUAGAAUCAUUACCAAGAAACGAAAGUACCUGGUAAUUUAGUUGGCGUGCACGAGCUCUAGUAAUUGGUCCAGUAUGUAUAGCAGCAGGGGCUGUGGGUGUAACAAUUGUAUUGAUGUCCUCAUCACUCAGCCCCUCGUGAGGCCAAUCCACCACAAAGUAGGAGUAGAGUUUUACACCGCAAGGUGGCCCGAACCUGGGUAGACUGUUGUGUUCAUCUUCUCCCUUGUUCAUCGAGCUAGGCCGUGCGGUGAUGAGCUGGUUGGCCGGAUUGGUUGGGUUCUUCGCACACACCCCAGAGUUCGAACCUUUCUUGGGUCCGUGGACCCUGAAUCCAACAACAUCACGCGGGAGAUAGAACUGCUCAUAAGGUAUUACAAUCUGGUUUUUACUGGCCUACUCUCUUCAAGGAUUCCCGUAAGUUUGUUUUAUCUUGUGUUGAAUGUCAAAGAAUUGGUAAUAUCGGUAAGCGUCAAGAAAUGCCUAUGAAUAACUCACUUCAUGUUGAACCAUUUGAUGUUUGAGGUUUUGAUUAUAUGGGUCAUUUUCCUUCCUCUAAUGGGUAUACACAAAUUUUGGUUGUUGUUGUUUAUGUUACUAAGUGGGUAGAAGAUAUUCCAACUAGUAGUGCUGAUCACAACACUUCCAUUAAAAUUCUUAAAGAAGUUAUUUUUCCAGGGUUUGGAGUCCCUAGAUAUUUAAUGACUGAUGGUGGUUCGCACUUUAUUCAGGAUGCUUUCUGUAAAAUGCUUGCUAAAUAUGAAGUUAACCAUAGAAUUGCAUCACCCUAUCAUCAUCAAUCUAGUGGUCAAGUUGAACUUAGCACUAGAGAAAUAAAACUAAUAUUACAAAAAACUGUUAAUAGGUCCCAAAAGAAUUUGUCUAAGAAAUUAGAUGAUGCACUUUGGGCCUUCAGAACAGCUUAUAAAAUCCCUAUGGGUAUGUCUCCUUGUAAAAUGGUUUAUGGAAAAGCUUGUCAUUUGCCUCUUGAGUUAGAACAUUAAGCAUAUUGGGUAAUUAAAGAACUCACCUAUGAUUUCAAACAUGUCGGUGAAAAGAGAUUAUUUGAUAUUAGCUCACUAGAUGAGUGGAGAACCCAAGCUUAUGAAAAUGCCAAACUAUUUAAAGAAAAAAUUAAAAGAUGGCAUGAUAAAAGGAUGCGAAAGUAGGAAUUCGAAGUUGGAGAAUAUGUUCAUUUGUACAAGUCUCUUUUAGAUUCUUUGCAGGAAAACUUCUCCCUAAAUGGGAAGAUGUGACGACCCGAGACUGACCCUCGAGACGCCUUCCAUAUUUUCGUUGUUGCCGCUUUAAUUAUUUUGCUUGUUGCAUUUCAUCAUGGCAUCAUGUGCAUUGCAUAUGCAUGUUUUCAUAAAACUUGUAGUUGUUGCUUAUUUCUUUGUCUCCGUUGAUCUUCUCUCGGACCAACCGGACCGCUCUCUUCUCUCUUGUUCUAUGAGCCCAACAAAACCCCCCUCACGUGCGCGUCUGAAAACUGUCCCAAGCCCGAACCGGGCUAUCGUUACCGAUGAGUCCGGAUCAUCUCCAAACAUCCCUAAAACAUCUUCCAUUUAUUUAUAAGAUUCCCUGGCAUAUUUAUUCUCGACCGUCCGAUCUAAUCGGAGGGUCCAAACUUAACCCUCUUUCCCUAUAUAUAUGGUCCACCUAUAUACCAAACUAGUCCAACCCUAACCUAACCCUAAUCCCCCUUGCGCCGCCACCCUCUCCCCCCUGUUCCUUGGGAUCCCUCCCAAUCCACCAAUUUGCCCUACCGGCCACCACUCCCUCCUUCGUUUGCAGCACCUGUACCAACUUUGAAAUAUGCAUAUGGGGAUUUUCUAGAAUUGUUGUUUGUCGUUUCCAGCCUCAUUUAACCUUGACUAAAUAGUUAGAUUAAUUAUGCUUCAUCUCUUGCCAUGUUAAUCAACAUUUAAUAUUGAUGGGUAGCAUAAACGAGAGUGUACUAAAUAUUUAAAUGUGGUGUUUUGUCAAUAUGCAACUGGGUUCAUAUUGAGGACCACUUAAUUUGUAGUGUUGUUUGUUGCACUUUGCCAUGCCAUGACUCAUUAAACCGGGCAUGCAACAUACCUGGUUGUGCAUCAUGCCAUGUUUAUGCUUGUUGAUUUACCAUGUUGUUUGCUUCUUUCCGGUUAUGAUUCUUCGUGAUAGUUCCGUUUAAGUUGCGAUUGUGAGGAUCCAUUCGACUACGUUGGUUCGUCUACUUCAACGAUUCGGUCUUCUUCCUAGCAGGAUUUCAGGCAAGAUGACCAUUACCUUGGAUACCACUACUAUCUUUGCUUGCUAGUUAUCUCGAUGCUAUCGCCAUGUCGCGCUACCUAUCACUUGUUUAUCAAGCCUCCCAAAUUGCCAUGAACAACCUCUAACCUUUUCCACAAUCCCAACAAACCGUUGUUUGGCUAUGUUACCACUUUGCUCAGCCCCUCUUAUAGCGUUGCUAGUUGCAGGUGCAGCUCAGGUUAUUUCAUGUUGGGACAUGGAUAUCAAAAUAUGUCUUAUUUAAUUAAUGCAUCUACAUACUUGGUAAAGGGUGGAAGGCUCGGCCUUUUGCUUGGUGUUUUGUUCCACUGUUGCCAACCUAGUUUCCGUCAUAUCAGUGUUAUGUUCCACGAUUGAGCGCCCCUAACAUGUGUGGGGUUUUAUGGGGACCCCUCUGAUCAUUCGUUUAGGUUUAACUCUUCCAGCAAGGCACAACAUUGGUUUUACCAUUUACCUAAUAACAACUAAAGGUUGCAUAGGGACUUUCCGGGCCCUGUGGAUUUUCAAUCAACAAACUGGUCCAAUGCUCCUCAUGAGUGUUGGUCCACCUACCUAGUAGUCGGCGGUGUCGCCUCAAGGCAACUCGAUGGUAUUNNNNNNNNNNNNNNNNNNNNNNNNNNNNNNNNNNNNNNNNNNNNNNNNNNNNNNNNNNNNNNNNNNNNNNNNNNNNNNNNNNNNNNNNNNNNNNNNNNNNNNNNNNNNNNNNNNNNNNNNNNNNNNNNNNNNNNNNNNNNNNNNNNNNNNNNNNNNNNNNNNNNNNNNNNNNNNNNNNNNNNNNNNNNNNNNNNNNNNNNNNNNNNNNNNNNNNNNNNNNNNNNNNNNNNNNNNNNNNNNNNNNNNNNNNNNNNNNNNNNNNNNNNNNNNNNNNNNNNNNNNNNNNNNNNNNNNNNNNNNNNNNNNNNNNNNNNNNNNNNNNNNNNNNNNNNNNNNNNNNNNNNNNNNNNNNNNNNNNNNNNNNNNNNNNNNNNNNNNNNNNNNNNNNNNNNNNNNNNNNNNNNNNNNNNNNNNNNNNNNNNNNNNNNNNNNNNNNNNNNNNNNNNNNNNNNNNNNNNNNNNNNNNNNNNNNNNNCUUGUUUUGGAGUUCUUCUGCUUCUUCUUCGAUCAAGGGAUAGGUUCCGGGUUGGGAGCCUAGGAUUAGCAGGGUGGAUGUCGUUCUUCUUCUUCAUUUGAUUUCAUCCGUAGUAGGAUCCUGCUCUUCUAUAUGAUGAUUGCUAUGUAUUGAUGUAUUCAUGUAUUCAUGUUGUAGCCUGUGGCGAGUGUAAGCCUUUAUCUUGUAUUCUCAUCUAUUAAAUACAUGGUAUGUUGUAUUGAUAUCCACCUUGCUAUGUGCUCAAAAUGCGGUUGUGCCCCAAUCAUGAGUUCAUCACGUGAUUGGGAUAGAAUCGCAUCUUGGGCGCUACAAGUUGGUAUCAAAGCCCUACUGACCGCAGGAGCCACCUUGAUUGAUCAAGUCGUUGUCGCUGUUGAGUCUAGAAAAAACUAUUUUGAGUCUAGUUAUAUCGAAGAGUAGGAAUUCUUUUUAUACUCCUCAUCCCCUUCGUCGCUUAGGUGAGGAAUCAUGACGUAGGUGUUUUUGUUUCCAUUACUCUCCUUUUUCACUCAUUUUUUAGGAUCAUGCGGGUAUUGUGGAAUUGGUCUGAUAUCAUUGUCACGGGAACUCUAUUCUUGGUGCCUCUUGUUAUUUAGGGGUUGUGGCAGUGUCCCGGGGAGUUGAGCUCCAAGGUGUUUUCGUCGCAGUGCUUAUCAUUUCAACUCUGAAAUACCAGAGGACGCCGACAUCGAAAACGCUUCUAUAGUCUUUGUGGUGAGAGUAGUUUGGUGCCACCCAGUACUGGGGAGAUCAAUCAGAUGUAUUGCGGCAGCUAGUAUAGCUGUUGUUUUUCGAAGGUCUGAGGUACCCCAUUUCCAAGGUUCUUGGUUAUGUGUUGAUGGAGGCAGUACAUUUGGAGCGUAGAAUUCUGCUAGGAGUUGUGUGAUGAUAUUUUGCUCCUUGUACUUGUUAUACCUGAUUGCAUAACCGAGAAUUUCAGGAGUUCAUAGGUGGCAAUUCAAGUAGUUACCUAGGGUUAUCCUUUCAACAAAUGCAUGAGGGGUUAUGUAUUUGUCUCUGGCUUAUUAUGCAAGCCAAAUCCUUGUUUGUUUUGAUUUGUGGUAUUCGAGUUGCUUAAAAGUCAAGUGUUGAUUCCAUACCUUUGAGUCUCUUCAUUUUUUUCCUCCAUGUUCUUACCCGGUGAUUCUCAUGAAGAUUCUCAAGAGCUACAAGUUCAUCAUUCUUAGUUCUCAUUCUCUUCUCCGGUGAACUAAAUUCAUGCUUUCGGUGUUCACCAUUUCACCUUCUUCAAUUCACAUGUUUCUCCGUGUUGGAAUUUCUUAUCCAAGGCUCUCUUAUUUAUUCACCUCUCCCUAUUUAUAUCCGGAGUGCAGAAGAUAUCUCAGAAGAUUCGUGUUUCCAUUCUUAAUCUGUUCAAGAUAUUGUUGAUAUCUCAUUCAACCCAUUUAAAUCAACUGGUGCAUUAUCUCUUUUUAAGCAUUUGUUCCAACGGUGUUUCUUUUGAGUGCCCUAACCCAUAGGUCUUUUCCCAGGAUCUUACCUCACUCUUCUAAUUUUUUCCACAGUGAUUCUCUAUCUCUUUCCAAGUUUGACAUAAGAAUGAAUUUUCAUCAAUCAGAUGCCUCCGCCAUAAUCGCUUCCAAAUUAUUUUCAUAUUUGGCUCUACCUUUAUUUAUUCAUUAUUCCGGAGUGUCUCAAUAAUUCUUAGUGGUGCUUCUCAUCGUCAUUCUCGGCUUUGAUGACCGGAGAAGAAUUUCUCUUAAAUCUUGUCCGUUCUCUUGAAGAUUCAGGCUUCUAGCUUCAUGCCAUCCUCUUAAUUCUUUCAAAUCAUGAGAAUUCUUUUCAUAUCCAUCUGAAGCAUUUCAGGAGUUUCUUUCCUUUCUCGAUCAUCCGAAAGCCAUCAUUUCAGAAGAUUUAUUCGCUCUCAACUUUCAGCUAUUAUUCCCCAAUUCUUCCGGUGCAUUAUUCAAGUACUCUCUAGUCAGUUCGUGAUCUCUUCGUUAUCUUGUAUUUAGAUUCCCUCAAGUAUCUUCGUUUGUUUGUAAUUCUUCCUGGCGAUUCAUUCUCUUUUCCUCCAUUAUUUUCAAUUCUUAUGAUGGUUCGUUCAAGAUUACUUUUCCUUUGUUACUGUAUCAUUUCAGUUGUUCUUUCCAAUCCUACAGGUGGUCCAUUCAGAUUGUGUUAUAUCUCUCUUAAUCCUUUCAACGAGAAUAAGUGGUAUGCCAAAAUCCGUUGCUUGUCAUCAAUUAAAAUUCAUGAAGGAUAUUCAUAACAUAAUACUUAUUCUUGUUUCAUCCAAGCGAUUGAUUCCUUCCUUUGGAGGUUUUUCAUGAGGAAUAAAUUCUCGGUUUCAAGUGGUUCAUCUUCUCUUUUUCCAGAAUUCCAAGUUGCAUCGGUUAUCUAAUCAUGAAGCUCCAUCUAAACCAUCUCAAGGUUUCAUCUUGCUAUUUUUUCAACCUUCACUUCCUUUCUACCAUUUAUUUUCUUACCGUAGUUCUUGAUGAAGUUUCUCAUGGUGGUUCAUCAAAGAUUUGUUCCAUUCUCGAAGUGUACAUCAAGAUUCUGUUGGAGCAUCUCAAGUAUUGUUCGUCCUGCAUUCCGAAGUGCAAUUCUUUCUACCUUAUCUUUGAGGUGUUGUUAUGUCAUCCGUGACAAUUUACUUCAUGUUUCAUGAUUCACAAGUUGUCAGAAAUGAUAUAUUUAAACCCAUCAUUUCUUCCUUGGAGUUAUUUUGGGUUAUAUUUCACCUAAAUGCCUUUCUGGAGGAUUGUUGCUAUUUGUGGUGAUUAUCCAUGAUCCAAGCUUGCUAUUAUCAUCUCCGUGGAAGAUGUUUGGCAUAUCUUUGAUGCUCUCAAGCAAUCAGUUGUUUCCAUUAGUGGAAAAAUUUCACUUCAAGUUUUGAGAUUUUUUCAUAAGGCCAUGGGAACCAUAUCAUUUGAUUAUUAAUUCUUCCAACAACUCCGUUUUAGCAUUCCUCGUAAGCUUGUUCUUUCAAGUUUCGUUAUGGUAAAGAUGUUGGUCCCUCUUCUCUCCUUUCUUUUCAUUCCAUUCUUUCAAUUGUUUCGGAGGCUUUGUGUUGUCAUUCUCUUCGAAGCACCAUAUCACCUUGUCAGGUUCAUGUUCAAUUCCUUCGCUUUUCAGACGGAGUCAUGUUCGAAUUCUUUCAUUCUUAUUCCUUGUAGAUCUCAUUUUAAUCGGAGUGGGUUAAAAGUAAAUCUUGUCCCUUAAGCUCUUGGUUCUCAUCAUAUUCCUUAUUCCUCUUGUCCAACAGACUGUUUACGGUCUCGUUCAUCUCCAUUGUAUUCUUUCUUUCAAGUUGUUCAACCUCUCAAGGUCCGUGGUUUCACUCGUUUGUCAAAGAAGCAGCUUUGUUUACCUCUUCCUCUUCUGUUUUCAUCCCUAGAUCUCGGGGCGAGAUCUCUUGUAAGUGGAGGAGAGUUGUGACGACCUAAGACCGAUGCUCCAGACGCCUUCCAUAUUUAUGUCGUAGCAGCUUUAAUUAUUUUGCUUGUUGCAUUUCAUCAUGGCAUCAUGUGCAUUGCAUACGCAUGUUUUCAUAAAACUCGUAGUCGUUCGUAGUUGCCACUUCUUUCUUUGUCUUCGUUGACCUUCUCUCAGACCAACCGGACCGCUCUCUUCUCUCUUGUUCUAUGAGCCCAACUAAACUCCCCUCGCGUGCGCGUCCAAAAACUGUCCCGUACCCGAACUGGGCUAUCGUUACCGAUGAGUCCGGAUCAUCUCCAAACAUCCCUUAAACAUCUUCGCUUUAUUUAUUAGACUCCCUAGCUAGCCUAUUUAUUCUCGACCGUCUGAUCUAAUCGGAGGGUCCAAACUUAACUCUCUUUCCCUGUAUAUAUGGGCCACCUAUAUACCAAAUUAGUCCAACCCAAACCUAAUCCUAUUCCCCCUUGCGCCGCCACCCUCUCUCCCCUGUUCCUCGAGAUCCCUCCCGAUCCACCAAUCUGCCCUACUAGCCACCACUCCCUCCUUCGUUUCCAGCACCAGCCCAACCGGCAGACUCCACCUUGUUCCCCAUCCAAGCGAUGAGCCCCACCUCUGCAGCACCGCCCGAACUCCUUCCGUGGCGCCCAAGCACCUCCUGGAGUCCCUGCCUCCUCGUCGACCCAAGCAGACGAGCUCCUCCCGAGGCCAGCCACCGCACCGCCAGGCCGCUUCCCCUACCCCGUUCCCUUAUUCUCCUUCCUUGUCUCUCUCCCUUCCCUGCCGGUCUCUCUCACCUCUCUCUAUAACAGCCAGCAGACCACCCGAUCUAGACGCCCACAGACCUCCUGCCAUCUUCAGCUUGCCACCCAGCCAAUCCUCGCCACCGCCGGAGUUCCAGGUUGCCGCUGCCUUGCCUUGUCUCCUGCUCCCUUGUACCCUCCAUCUCGUCCCCUUCCCUGACCUCUCACUCUCUCUCUCUCUCUCUUUGGACAGCAGGGCCACCAUGGACGCGAAGCCGCCGGCUUCCUCCUCGCCCUCUGAUAGAGGCAAAGGUGUCCCGUCUUUCGAUGAGAUGGUGGCUAUCGUUUUGGAGGAAGUCAACUUUGACGAUAUGACUACGAACAUGCGAAGACGUCGCACCUUAGCAAUCGCUAAACCAACUCUGACAGGUUAUUGACCAUGCCGGAGCAUGAUCAACCUGACCACGAAGGUCUGUUUCCUGGUGGUAAUCCCGGUGGCGCGUCUUCUGGGAAGAAGUCAGCGAACUCCUGCAAAAUGUUAGUGAUAGCAGGGGGCAAAGAGGAAGGCACGUCCUCGAAUGAAAAUAAUGCCUCUUUGCACACAAAAGCAUACCAAACCGAUUUGCUGAAAUCUAGCUCAUCAAUAUCAGAUUUGGUGGCAAGUAAACAUGCACUUUUCAAUUUAAUUUCAGAAGCAACACUAGAUGGUUUAUUAUUAGGCUUCAUUUGUUGCUCAAAUUCUUUUUCCACAAUCUGAUUUUCACUCUUAUUUUUCUCCUGCUUUGCUUUAUUAGCUCUAUUAAUAUCAUCUUUCAAAAUGGAAUCAGGAGUCAUAGGAAGCAAAGUAAUAUGGCUAUCCUUAUGAACAAGAGUAUACUGAUUAUUUCUACCAUGGUGUAUAGAAUUUUUAUCAAAUUGCUAUGGUCUACCAAGUAAUAAGGAACAUGCUUGCAUGGGUACCACAUCACAGUCAACAUAAUCAGCAUAUGUAGAGAUACUAAAAUGCACAAGAACACUAUGUGUUACCUUAACCUUGUCGCUGUUGUUGAACCAUUGGAUGUAGUAAGGAUGUGGAUGUGGUCUUGUGGUGAGAGAUAGCUUCUCCACCAUCUCCAUGCUAGCCAAGUUGUUGUAGCUCCCUCCAUCUAUGAUCACGCGAACAAAACAUUCCUUCACAACUCUCUUUGUACGGAACAAAUUAUGCCUCUGAUUUUGCUCAGCUUGUGUAACCUGCACACUCAAAACAUGUUGAGCAACUAAACAUUAUACCCGUUAGCAUCUUCAGCUGCCAUGUAUUGCGUCUCAUGAUCAGAAUCAUCUCCACCGUGUUCCUCAUGUGUAAUAAGAGCCAAAGUUUCCUCAUCAUAGUCACUAGCGGACUCAUACCCACCAUCCUCAGUAGCAAUCAUCACACGCUGAGAUUUGCAUUCUCUCGCAAAAUGUCCUCUUCCCUUAUAACGACGACAUAUAAUAUCACUUGUGUGCCCUGUUGAUGCCAUGGAAGAUGAAGAGCUCUGCGCAGGCCCGGCAGGUGUGCUCUUAGCAGAUAGUGGUGGUUGUGCCUGCUUUCCUGUAUCACAGCUGGAGGUGGCACCUGAUGGAGGUGCUGGUGCAGUGGAAGUAGAUGAUGCACGUGGUGUCCAUGAUGAAGAUCGACCUGCAGAAAAGUUAGUUCGUGCAAAUGCCUGUCGAUCCUGCACUUCACGUUCAGCUUUACAAGCAAGAUGGAAUAAACGAGUGAUAUUAUUAUACUCCUUAUACUCUAGAAUGGUAUGAAUAUCUCUACUUAAUCCACCCAUAAAAUGUGCAAGCAUAGCUUCAUUCUCCUCAACAAUACCACAUCUAAUCAUGCUAGUUUGUAAUUCCUGAUAAUAUUCUUCUAUAGAAUUUUUUCCUUGUCUUAAACGCCGCAAUUUUUGAAGUAAUUCACAUUGAUAAUAUGGUGGAACCAAACGAGUACGCAUAGCAGUUUUCAUAGCAACCCAAGUAGCUGGAAUAGUAUAUAAUCUACAAUAUUCAUACCACCAAACACAUGCAAAACUAGUGAAAGCAUAAACAGCAGCAGGAACACGUCUCUCCUCGGGAUAUUGUAAACAUGUAAAACGUUGUUCAGUUUCUAACUCCCAAGUAAGAUAUAUAUCAGGAACAUAUCUACCCUCAAAUGGUGGAAUAUUCAACUUUAGUUUAGGAAAAAGGUCAUGAUCUCGUACCUCAGGUGGUGGUGCAGCCCUACCGUUGCGAUGAUAUACCUGAGGACGACCUGGUGGUGGUGCUGCUUGUGGUUGCACGUAGUUCUGAUUUUGAUCAACCUCAUCCUCGUAAUGGUCCUCCACCUCUACAGUAGCAGCAGGAGCUACAGAAGCAUCAAUAGCGGCACCAGAAUUUUGCCCAGGGUCAAUGGGAACAUGCUGUGCUCGUCCCACUUAAUUUGGAAGGCGACGUUGUUGUUGUUGUUAUAGAGGUCCAUUAGGUGCAGCAGCCGGUGGUGGUGGUGGUGGAAGACGCACGAGCAAUUUAUUAAACUUGUCAUCGAGCUUUGUUUCAAACGUGUUCUCCAUGCCAUCUAUCUUCUCCAUGGCCUCUUCAAAUCUGUUUAGCACAUCUUGCACCUGUCCACUCAUCAUUUGCUGAAAUUUAUCAUGCAACUCCUUAUUCGUCAUGUUCUCCCAGUCAGUCUCGUCGGCUUGUGAUCCUGCCAUGGUUAGCAGCAAUAGAAACACACAAGAAUAUGAUCCUACAGACUACUAACAAGAGGUGGUGGUGGGUGUCACAAAUCUGUCAAGCAAAUCUCAAAUUCUUACCAGUUCUUACCCAGCAGCAGGCGGUGAUCGGCAACUGUCGUAGUCAAAACUCUCAAAGCUUGGAUAGAGCGAUUACCAGGGAGAGUCAAACGCACGACAUAGAUGCAUGUGGAGCUGGGAAGGCUUAUAAUAUGGUAGCCAAAAGGGUCGGCAAUAGUCAAUUCAGAGAUGCAAAGUUGAAUAAACGCUCAACGACGGUACUGUGCUGGUCCUAGGCUAGACCGUGCAAGAGACACGAGCCUAGCACACUAACAAAAUCACGGCGCUGCACGUAAACAAGGGAGGAGCACACUCUGAAUUGUUUUCUAUUUUUUUGCACUUCUUUCCUCUUUUUUUUCUCCACAACAAUUUUUUUCGAAAAAGUCUACAAAUGGUCUAAAAACUGCCUAGCCAGAAUUUUCCAGACUUAGUUUUUUUUUGAGUUUGGAACUCUUUUUCUACUGCGGGUAGCACGGAAGUUGGAGAGUCCAACUUGGUCAUGACUCGAAGUAUCGUGUGAUCUAGAACUCGAAAAUAAAGGAACAAAUACUGGACUCGGACUAGGACUGGUGGUGGAGAUGAAUCUGGUGGAAACUCGGACUGGUGGCGAAUAUAUGUAGGGCGGUGGAACACGGACUGGUGGCGAAUCUGUGAUGGAGGUGGACUCGGAUUAUCGUGAUGGCGGUCAAUAUGUGGUAUAUGGCAGCGGCGGUGAUGGUGGUGGUAUAUGGUAGCGGUGAUGACGAUGGUGGUAUAUGGCAGAGGUGACGAUGAUGGUGGUAUAUGGCAGCGGUGAUGAUGAUGAUGCGGCGGCGGCGGCGUGACUACUUUUGAAUAGAACUCGAAACUCUAAAGGACUAGACACUAAGACCAGUAACUAGACACGACAAUGCAACCGCAAAUUCAACAAUGCGAAGCCCUAAAAAGAUUAUGCAAAGGCUUAGAUUGGUUUGGAUAUGAUGAACUAACCCUAAUUUUUUGUGGCUUUUUCGUGGACUGUAGGUAUGAAGAACAGACUCGAUCUAAACUACAAAAAACUGUAAAAUCUCACCGAGCAACCUGCAAAUCUGAUACCACUUGAUAGAGGCAAAGGUGUCCCAUCUUUCGAUGAGAUGGUGGCUAUCGUUUUGGAGGAAGUCGACUUUGACGAUCUGACUACGAACGUGUGAGGACGUCGCGCCUUAGCAAUCGCUAAACCAACUCUGAGAGGUUAUUGACCACGCCGGAGCACGAUCAACCUGACCACGAAGGUUUGUUUCCUGCAGGCAAACGAAGAACAAGCAAGAAACUAAGAUUGCAAUCCGGAUAUUGCGAAUAUAAGAGGAAAGCUUUAUUGAUCAAGGUGGGGUUCUGUGACGCCUUUGUUUGGUCGUUGAACACAAAUGAAGUACGCGAAGUUGCAGCUAUGGCGAACUUUCAUCUAAACAAAACCCAAAGUCUAAACGAUGCCCUAAGGGCUGUAUAUAUGGAGGAGAGAGGGGAGAAUUUCGUGGACCUUGGAGGAGGGGUCCAAAACCAACCCUAACUCUUGUUUCCCCACACAUACGGACUCUAAAAACUUCCUAUAAUCAAGUAUUUCAAAAUUACAUGGGCCUGGCCCAAAGAUAAGGUGACGUAGCACCUAGUAUAGCCUCUGGACGAAAUUUAUGAAGUGGCAUCUUGUAUAUUUCAUCCAAGGCUUCAUGCACUCAUUAUGGUGGCUCCAAGGUUCAUCUUUCUUGUCCAAGCUAGGCCCUUCAUUUGUAAGCAAAACAAAUGUAUCCAAUUUAGGCAGCAUCAUAUUCUCAUGAACAUUAGAAUCGUUACCAAGAUACGAAAGUAUCUGAUAAUUCAAUUGGCGUGCAUGAGCUCUAGUAAUUGGUCCAGUAUGUAUAGCAGCAGGGGUUGUGGGUGUAACAAUGGUAUUGAUUUCCUCAUCACCCUCGCACACUGCCGGACCCCCUGCAUCGCCUCCGACCUUCCUCGCGCUCGAUCUGCUCCAAGUCGUGCCGCUGGCAAAGUUCCUCGACCCACAGACCGGAGCUGCCUCCUUGCUGUCCCCAUCGACUGAUGCCACUUGCCUCCUCUGCUUCGAACACACGCGCGCGCCUGCCUCCCUUGCCUCGCAUGCCUCAUCGCAGGUCAGCCGCGUCGCUGCUCAUGGCCUGCACCAACCUCCUCCUCCGUAGCCAAGUCCCACCACCGUCGGAAAUGGAGUCCGCACCUCUGGAUCCGCUGAGACCCUGCCAUGCUGACGUCUUCCCUGGCAAGGAGCCACCUAGACUCCUCCCACUCGUCUGCAACGAUGAGAGGCUUCUCUACCUUGUCCUCGCUUUGACCGCCUCCUCUUCCUCCACGCGUGUGCACAUAGAAUAGAUCAUACAUAAAAGAGUUAUCCUCGAUGGCAACUCUUUUUAUUCUACAUAGAAUAGAUCUCCAAGAAGAUCGAGGAGAACUUUGUAUUGAGAUCCAAAGAGAGAGAAGAAGCCAUCUAGCUAAUAACUAUGGACCCUAAGGUCUGAAGUAAACUACUCACACAUCACCGGAGAGGCCAUGGAGUUGAUGUAGAGGCCCUUCGUGAUUGAUGCCCCCUCCGGUGGAGCUCCGGAAAAGGCCCCAAGAUGGGAUCUCUUGGGUACAGAAGGUUGCGGCGGUGUAAAUAGGGUUUCGUGGUCCUCUUGGAUGUUUUUUGGGGUAUAUGAAUAUAUAUAGGAGGAAGAAGUAGGUCGGUUGAGCCACCAGGGGCCCACGAGGGGGGAGGGCGUGCCCAGGGGGUAGGCGCGCCCCCUGCCUCGUGGACUCCUCGUUUGUUUCUUGACGUCCACUCUAAGUCCUCUAGAUCACGUUUGUUCCAAAAAUAACUCUCUCGAAGGUUUCAUUCCGUUUGGAUUCCGUUUGAUAUUCCUUUUCUGCGAAACACUGAAAUAGGCAAAAAAACAGUAAUUUGCACUGGGCCUUGGGUUAGUAGGUUAGUCCCAAAAAAAUAUAAAAGUGUAAAAUAAAGCCCAUUAACAUCCAACACAGAUAAUAUAAUAGCAUGGAACAAUCCAAAAUUAUAGAUACGUUGGAGACGUGUCAAGCAUCCCCAAGCUUAAUUCUUGCUCGUCCUCGAGUAGGUAAAUGAUAAAAACAGAAUUUUUGAUGUGGAAUGCUACCUAACAUAAUUCUCAAUGUAAUUCUCUUUAUUGCGGGAUGAAAUUCAGAUCCGAAAGAUUCAAGACAAAAUUCUCAUAUUGACAUAGAAAUAAUAAUACUUCAAGCAUACUAACUAAGCAAUUAUGUCUUCUCAAAAUAACAUGACCAAAGAAAGUUAUCCCUACAAAAUCAUAUAGUCUGGCUAUGCUCUAUCUUCACCACACAAAGUAUUUAAAUCAUCAACAACCCCGAUGACAAGCCAAGCAAUUGUUUCAUACUUUUCAUGUUCUCAAACUCUUUCAAUCUUCACGCAAUACAUGAGCGUGAGCCAUGGACAUAGCACUAUAUGUGGAAUAGAAUGGUGGUUGUGGAGAAGACAAAAAGGGAAAACAUAGUCUCACAUCAACAAGGCGUAUCAAUGGGCUAUGGAGAUGCCCAUCAAUAGAUAUCAAUGUGAGUGAGUAGGGAUUGUCAUGCAACGGAUGCACUAGAGCUAUAAGUGUAUGAAAGCUCAAAAAGAAACUAAGUGGGUGUGCAUCCAACUUGCUCGCUCACGAAGACCUAUGGCAUUUUGAGGAAGCCCAGCAUUGGAAUAUACAAGCCAAGUUCUAUAAUGUAAAAUUCCCACUAGUAUAUGAAAGUGAUAACAUAAGAGACUCUCUAUCAUGAAGAUCAUGGUGCUACUUUGAAGCACAAGUGUGGAAAAAGGAUAGUAACAUUGUCCCUUCUCUCUUUUUCUCUCAUUUUUUUAUUUGGGCCUUCUUCUCUUUUUCUAUGGCCUCUUUUUUUAUUUUUUCAUCUGGAUUCUCAUCCCGACUUGUGGGGGAAUCAUAGUAUCCAUCAUCCUUUCCUCACUUGGGACAAUGCUCUAAUAAUGAUGAUCAUCACACUUUAUUUACUUAGAACUCAAGAAUUACAACUCAAUUCUUAGAACAAAAUAUGACUCUGUGAAUGCCUCCGGUGGUGUACCGGGAUAUGCAAUGACUCAUGAGUGACAUGUACGAAAGAAUUAUGAAUGGUGGCUUUGCCACAAAUACGAUGUCAACUACAUGAUCAUGCAAAGCAAUAUGACAAUGAUGAAGCGUGUCAUAAACAGAACGGUGGAAAGUUGCAUGGAAUAUAUCUCGGAAUGGCUAUGGAAAUGCCAUAAUAGGUAGGUACUCUGCUUAUUUUGAGGAAGGUAUAUGGUGGGUUUAUGGUACCGGCGAAAAUUGCGCGGUACUAGACAGGCUAGCAAUGGUGGAAGGGUGAGAGUGCGUAUAAUCCAUGGACUCAACAUUAGCCAUAAAGAACUCACAUACUUAUUGCAAAAAUCUAUUAGUUAUUGAAACAAAGUACUACGUGCAUGCUCCUAGGGGGAUAGAUUGGUAGGAAAAUACCAUCGCUCGUCCCCGACCGCCACUCAUAAGGAAGACAAUCAAUAAAUAAAUCAUGCUCCGACUUCAUCACAUAACGGUUCACCAUACGUGCAUGGUACAGGAAUCACAAACUUUAGAACAAGUAUUUCUCAAAUUCACAACUACACAACUAGCAUGACUCUAAUAUCACCAUCUCCAUAUCUCAAGACAAUCAUCAAGUAUCAAACUUCUCAUAGUAUUCAAUGCACUUUUUAUGAUAGUUUUUAUUAUACCGAUCUUGGAUGCCUAUCAUAUUAGGACUAAAUUCAUAACCAAAGCAAAUUACCAUGCUGUUCUAAAGGACUCUCAAAAUAAUAUAAGUGAAGCAUGAGAGAUCAAUAAUUUCUAUAAAAUAAAACCACAACCGUGCUCUAAAAGAUAUAAGCGAAGCACUAGAGCAAAAUUAUCUAGCUCAAAAUAUAUAAGUGAAGCACAUAGAGUAUUCUAAUAAAUUCCGAUUCAUGUGUGUCUCUCCCAAAAGGUGUGUACAGCAAGGAUUAUUGUGGUAAACUAAAAAGCAAAGACUCAAAUCAUAUAAGACACUCCAAGCAAAACACAUAUCAUGUGGUGAAUAAAAAUAUAGCUCCAAGUAAAGUUACCGAUGGAAGAAGACGAAAGAGGGGAUGCCUUCCGGGGCAUCCCCAAGCUUAGGCUUUUUUUCCUUGAAUUUUACCUUGGGGUGCCUUGGGCAUCCCCAAGCUUAGGCUCUUGCAACUCCUUGUUCCAUAAUCCAUCAAAUCUUUACCCAAAACUUGAAAACUUCACAACACAAAACUUAAAAGAGAAUCUCGUGAGCUCCGUUAGUAAAAAAACAAACCACCACUUCAAGGUACUGUAAUGAACUCAUUAUUUAUUUAUAUUGGUGUUAAACCUACUGUAUUCCAACUUCUCUAUGGUUCAUACACUCAAAUACUAGCCAUAGAUUCAUCAAAAUAAGCAAACAACACACGAAAAACAGAACAAUAUGUAGAAAUCUGUAGGUUUGGAAUACUUCUGGAACUCCAAAAAUUCUAAAAUAAGUUGCUGGACGUGAGGAAUUUAUCUAUUAAUCAUCUUCAAAAAUAAUUAACUAAAUAGCACUCUCCAGUAAACAAUGGAAGCAAAUAUCGUGAGCGCUAAAGUUUCUGUUUUUUACAGCAAGAUUGCAAAGACUUUCCCCAAGGCUUCCCAAAGGUUCUACUUGGCACAAAAACUAAUUAAAAGCAUAAAACCACAUCUAAACAGAGGCUAUAUGAAUUAUUUAUUACUAAAAAGAAUCAAAAGCAAGGAACAAAAAUAAAAUUGGGUUGCCUCCCAACGAGCGCUAUCGUCUAACGCCCCUAGCUAGGCAUAAAAGCAAGGAUAGAUCUAGGUAUUAUCAUAUUUGGUAUGCAAUUCUUAAAUAUAACACUUAUAACCCUUAGGAGUUUCCUUCUUUCUAUUAAUGAUUAAAAUCCUUGGAAAGAAAUCAAGAAAAUCAUUUGUAGCAAAAGGUUCCUUAAUGAUAGCGAUAAAGUUGGGGUGAACACUUAUGGAUUUGAGAUCCGCAUUUUCCUUACUAGAAGUUUCACCCUUAUUUUGAGGAACAUACAUUAGUUUCGCAACUUUGGUAGGAGGAUUUUAAGUAUUCCUUAUGGCAGAAAAAGUGGACCCCAAGUUGGUGAUAAUACCCUCAAGUUUAUCAGUUCUAGUGGAAUCUUGGUCUAUUCUUUCAUUAACUACGGGUUCUUUUUCUUUAAAACUUUUCAGAGUAACUCCUACCUUAGAUCCAUAUUGAGUAAUUUGGUUGUGGAUCUUUUUAUCCAAAUUCUCAAUCAAUUCUACAGUGGCAAUUUUAUUUUCAAUAAUAUCGAGCCUUUGCAUAACAUGUUCCAAAGUUAACAUAGUUCCAUUAACCAAGAGAGGUGGUGUGCCAAACAAAUCUAUCAUAACAUUAUAAGAAUCAAAAGUGUGGCUACCCAAGAAAUUUCCUCCGGUAAUGGUAUCAAGAAUAUAUCUAUUCCAAGGGAUGAUGCCCACAUAAAAAUUGCGAAGAAGAACGGAAGUAGAUUGCAUCCUAGUGCAUCUAUUUUGCGCAUUGCAAAUUCUGUACCAAGCAUCUUUUAGAUUUUCUCCCACCCUUUGUUUAAAAUUAAGGACCUCAUUCUCGACAGACAAAGGAGUAGAUAAAGGACUAGCCAUAAUGACGAAACAAGCAAAAUAAAAGCCGAACGGAAAAAGAGGGCGAAUAAAACGGCAAGGGUGAAGUGGGGGAGAGGAAAAUGAGAGGCAAAUGGCAAAUAAUGUAAUGCGAUGGAUAAGAGUUUGUGAUGGGUACUUGGCAUGUCUUGAGUUGUGCAUAGACUCCCCGGCAACGGCGCCAGAAAUCCUUCUUGCUACCUCUUGAGCACUGCGUUGGUUUUCCCUUAAAGAGGAAAGGGUGAUGCAGCAAAGUAGCGUAAGUAUUUCCCUCAUUUUUUGAGAACCAAGGUAUCAAUCUAGUAGGAGGCCACACGCAAGUCCCUCAUACCUACACAAACAAAUAAGAACCUGGCAACCAACGCGAUAAAGGGGUUGUCAAUCCCUUCACGGUCACUUACGAGAGUGAGAUCUGAUAGAGAUAAUUAUUAUUAUUAUUAUUAUUAUUAUUAUUAUUAUUAUUAUUAUUAUUAUUAUAAGAUAAAUAUUUUUGGUAUUUUUAUGAUAAAGAGUAAAAGUAAAGAUUGCAAAAUAAAAUAGAUUGGAAACUUAUAUGAUAAAAGAUACACCCGGGGGCCAUAGGUUUCACUAGUGGCUUCUCUCAAGAUAGCAUAAGUAUUAUGGUGGGUGAACAAAUUACUGUCGAGCAAUUGAUAGAAAAGCGAAUGAUUAUGAGAAUAUCUAGGCAUGAUCAUGUAUAUAGGCAUCACGUCCAUGACAAGUAGACCAACUCCUGCCUGCAUCUACUACUAUUACUCCACACAUCGCCCGCUAUCCAGCAUGCAUCUAGAGUAUUAAGUUCAUAAGAACAGAGUAACGCAUUAGGCAAGAUGACAUGAUGUAGAGGGAUAAACUCAAGCAAUAUGAUAUAAAUCCCAUCUUUUAUCCUUGAUGGCAACAAUACAAUACGUGUCGUUUCCCUUUCUGUCACUGGGAUCGAGAACCGCAAGAUUGAACCCAAAGCUAAGCACUUCUCCCAUUGCCAGAAAGAUCAAUCUAGUAGGACAAACCAAACUGAUAAUUUGAAGAGACUUGCAAAGAUAACCACUCAUACAUAAAAGAUUUCAGAGAAGAAUCAAAUAUUGUUCAUAGAUAGACUUGAUCAUAAACCCACAAUUCACCGGAUCUCGACAAACACACCGCAAAAAGAGUUACAUCAAAUAGAUCUCCAAGAAGAUCGGGGAGAACUUUGUAUUGAGAUCCAAAGAGAGAGAAGAAGCCAUCUAGCUAAUAACUAUGGACCCGAAGGUCUGAAGUAAACUACUCACACGUCACCGGAGAGGCCAUGGAGUUGAUGUAGAGGCCCUCCAUGAUCGAUGCCCCCUCCGGCGGAGCUCCGGAAAAGGCCCCAAGAUGGGAUCUCUUGGGUACAGAAGGUUGCGGUGGUGGAAAUAGGGUUUCAUGGUGCUCCUGGAUGUUUUUGGGGUAUAUGAAUAUAUAUAUAUAUAGGAGGAAGAAGUAGGUCGGUUGAGCCACGAGGGGGAGGGCGUGCCAAGGGGGUAGGCGCACCCCCCCUGCCUCAUGGACUCCUCGUUUGUUUCUUGACGUCCACUCCAAGUCCUCUGGAUCAUGUUUGUUCCAAAAAUAACUCUCCCAAAGGUUUCAUCCUGUUUGGAUUCUGUUUGAUAUUCCUUUUUUGUGAAACACUGAAAUGGGCAAAAAAACAGCAAUUUGCACUGGGCCUUAGGUUAGUAGGUUAGUCCCAAAAAUAAUAUAAAAGUGUAAAAUAAAGCCCAUUAACAUCCAAAAUAGAUAAUAUAAUAGCAUGGAACAAUCAAAAAUUAUAGAUACGUUGAAGACGUAUCAGGCAGCCAGAUCCAUCGGCCUGCACCAGCGUGCAGCCCAGCCUCGCGGCCUGCUGGCACCACCAUCUGGGCCUUGGGCCAUGUGAGAACCCCGGCCCAGUGUGCUCUAUUUCAGCCCAGUUCAUAUUUUUUUGUCUGCUGCAAUUUAGCUAUUAUCCAAAGAAUUACUGUUUUACAGAAAACACCCUAGAACUCAUGCAUCGGAUUAAAACAAAUUAUAUACGUAAAAUUCUUAGGAUUUCAUCUAGUUUCACAAUUUCCAACUUUCAUCCAUGCUAAAAAUGUUUAAAAUUGUUGUUUGAUUAAAGUUACAUAGAAGACAUAUUAAAAUGACUUAUUUCAUAACUAAUUAACCGUAGCUAUGAAUUAGAAAACUUUAUAUGUAAAUGGGGCUAGAAAAAUGCAUAGAUUAACUUGAUGCACUUACUUUGCAUGUUUAACAAUAAUAAGAUAUGGUUUAGGGCAGAACAGUACCAACUUCAAAAUAUGCAUAUGGGGAUUUUCAGGAAUUGUUGUUUGUCGUUUCCGGCCUCAUUUAACCUUGCCUAAAUAGUUAGAUUAAUUAUGCUUCAUCUCUUGCCAUGUUAAUCAACAUUUAAUAUUGAUGGGUAGCAUAAACAGGAGUGAACUAAAUAUUUGAAUGCGGUGUUUUGUCAAUAUGCAACUCGGUGCAUAUUGACUCUACUUAAUUUGUAGUAUUGUUUGUUGCACUUUGCCAUGCCAUGACUCAUUAAACCAGGCAUGCAUCAUACUUGGUUGCGCAUCAUGCCAUGUUUAUGCUUGUUGGUUUCCCAUGUUGUUUGCUUCUUUCUGGUUCUGCUUCUUCGUGAUAGUUCCGGCUAUGCUGCGACUGUGAGGAUCCGUUCGACUACGUUGGUUCGCCUACUUCAUGGAUUCGGUCUUAUUCCUAGCAGGAUUUCAAGCAAGAUGACCAUUACCUUGGAUACCACUACUAUCUUUUCUUGCUAGUUUUCUCGAUGUUAUCACUAUGUCGCGCUACGUAUCACUUGUUUAUCAAGCCUCCCAAAUUACCAUGAACAACCUCUAACCUUUUCCACCAUCCCAGCAAACCAUUGUUUGGCUAUGUUACCGCUUUGGUCAGCCCCUCAGAUAGUGUUGCUAGUUGCAGGUGCAGUUCAGGUUAUUCCAUGUCGGGACAUGGAUAUCAUGGGAUAUCACAAUAUCUCUUAUUUAAUUAAUGCAUCUAUAUACUUGGUAAAGGGUGGAAGGCUCGGCCUUUUGCUUGGUGUUUUGUUCCACUCUCGCCACCCUAGUUUUCGGCAUACCGGCGUUAUGUUCCAUGAUUGAGCGCUCCCAACAUGUGUGGGGUUUUAUGGGGACCCCCUGAUCAUUUGCUUAGGUUUAACUCUUCCAGCAAGGCCCAACAUUGAUUUACCAUUUUCCUAAUAACAACUAAAACUUGCAUAGGGACUUUCCAGACCCUGUGGAUUUUUAAUCAACAAACUGGCAAGUGCUACUCAUGAGUGUUGUUCCACUUACCUAGCAGUCGGUGGUGACGCCUUGGGGAAACUCGAUGGUAUUCAGGCUAUCGUCCACUUCGCAUAGAAGGUUGUGUCCUGAGAACGAGAUAAGCGCGGUUCUUAUAGGGGUGACGACACACCGAGUUGUCUUGCUGGAUUAGUUGUACCUGUGACGAGUGGCUUGUCCACCGGGAUUCCUUAUUGUAAGCAUCAUGUUCUUCAUGGUGUGAGGAUGUUCCAUCGGAUGCGUGUGGUAGCUUGUGAUGGAUUAAUUUGGAGCACCCUUGUAGGGUUAAAUCUUUUCGGAAGUCAUUCCCGCGGUUAUGUUGCAGAUUGGAAAUUUAUAAUAUCCAUUUGUAGAGAACAUGACACCAGAUCCGAAUUAAAAUACACCAACCGCGUGCGUAACUGUGACUAUCUCUUUUUGAGUGAGGUCCGAGAAGAGAACACGGUGAGGUUAUGUUUGACUUGUAUGUAGUUCAGGAUCACUUCUUGAUCAUUACUAGUUUGUGGCCAUUAUAUGUAGUUUUACUUCUUACCCUUGUACUCGUAAGUUAGCCUCUAUACAAUGCUUAGUGCUUGCUGCAAACCUCAUCACUUAUCUAUUCCAUGCCCAUUAAGCUUUGCUAGUGAUGCAGCGCAUCCCAAGGUCAUCCCCAUGGACCUACCAUCGUCUCAACAAGUGCCUAGCGGAUCCAUGACACAAGCACGUGCAAGAGCUCUCGAAACCGAGGUGACAUCUCUCCUCUCACAAGUUCACUUCAAUGCACAUGAGACAUGGCUACUACCUCAAACAGAGACAUUAUGCAUACUCAGGUAUCAAGGAGUUAGCCAUGAAGAAGCUAAGGAGCAAGGAGAAUCAGAAGAUGAAGAUGGACGUGAAGAAGAAGAGAUGCGGAAGAAGCUACAGGCUCCGACGACUGACCCAGAUCGGACGUCCGACGAUCUACAGGCUCCGGACGACCGACCAAGACCGGACGUCCGACGAUCUCCAGGCUCCGGACGUCUGACCUUCUCUGGACGACCGACACACCCACACCCGAGCCGAAACUAUGAAUUUCCGAAGCCCUCAGGACGAACGACGCCCGGACGACCGACCCCGACCGGACGUCCAACUGAAGCACAACCGAGCCGAAUCUACGAACGUCCGACGAGCACCGGACGUCCGGACCCUCAUGAGCCUCCGGACGACCGGUGACUCCCGGACGUCUGACUCUUGUGUGUUGUUAUGUGUUGGGCCGGAGCCCAUGUAUCCCUUCGCCCUACCUAGACUAUAUAUACUCUUCCCCUACCUAUGUUUUAGGGUUAGCAAAGGAUUAGCUCAUAUUUCGUGUGAGAGCUUUGCUCAUCCACUUGGUUACCUUCUCCUCGGAGAUAGCGCCUCCUUGGAGAAGAUCCCCCAAGCGGAUUCAAAACCCUUUUAGGGAAGAACCUCAAGACCUCCUAACGGAGAAGACCGGUUACCUUUGCAUCGUCCCUAGUUGACCGUGGAUCGUGCGACCCCUUAUGUACUCGAGGAUCUAGCAUAUGUGUGACUAUUUCUUGUUGGUUUAGUGUUUCUCUCGUGUUUCCCCUUGUGUUUCCCCUCGUAAUUUCCCUUGUGUUCUUCAUGUUCAUCGUGGGAUCUACUCCUCUCAUGAAAGAUCAGCUCCUAGGGUUCCUACCCUACAUCAUCUUGGUAUCAGAGCCACGUUGAUCACGAUUUUGGAGCCUCCCCAUUGUGCUUCUAGCCUAGUUUUUGUUGAUUUUGUCCCUAAUUCAAAAAUUCCCCACAAAAAUAGCCACAAUUUUUUUUGUGAUUUGUUGGUAUGUUGAAAUUUUGUUGAAUUUGAUCUGUGGAUUUGCUUUGCCUUGAGUGGAUCUACCUUUUCCCCCCUGUCUCCACCUUUCCCAUCCACAAAAUCGCCCGGAUUUGAUGAAUUUCGACCUCUCCAUCACGAACCCUAGCUGUUCUUCCCGUGACCGAAAUUUUUCCCAGGCUCCGGAUGUCCAACCGCCUCCGGACGUCCGACGACCGGACGACCGGCCCAUCCCGGAUGUCCGACGUUCCCUGACGAAACUGAAUUUUUCAGUUUUAGUCACCACCACCGCCCCACUUCUGUAUACGCACUCCCACCACCGUUACACCAUCACCACUUCCACAUACUACCACCAUUGCUUACCCGUUUCGCACUCCGACAUGUGUUGCCACUUCGAUAUUUGAGAAUUUGAGUUGCAGUUCCAUUUCCUAUUGCGUUUCGGCUAUUUAGGUAUGGUUCAACAUCAACAUCACCGCCGCUUAUCUUCGCCACGGACGCGUAAUCAACAACGACCACCUCGACUACAUCUUGGUAUUCGUGCCACCAUUUUGACACCAUACCAUAAGCAAGAAGCGGUAACCUCACAUUGGUAUUGAAUAUAUCAUUAUUGCCAUUACAUUGAUAGCCAUCAUAGCCUUACUCAUUUGCGUCGCUUACCCUUCGAGACUAGCCCUUGAGUAUUGUCGGCAACAAGACUUGUGCACAUUAGUGAUCUUACUUCCCAUAGCAUACAUACAUCAUUGGUGCAUAUCUUGGUAUCAUCUCUUGUGUCACAAGGUUGUGAUCGCAUACACAAUUGCUAUCUUGGUUCGUGAAGCAUUGCAUGAGAAAAGAGCUCAAACAACAACGAGCCAAACAAGCUUUUAAGCAAAAGGGAAAGAUAAGCAAAGAGCUUUUAAGCAAGAACCAUAGCAUCAUACAACAUUAAGAUUGUCAUACUAGAUCAUCUUGGAUCAUAGCAUCGAAACACCAUACAUAGAGCAUACUUGGGAUAGAAGUCAUUGCAUUUUUGCUUAGUAGGUUGUGCACAAGUCUUGUAUCCGCCUUUUGUGCAAUCGUGCUAGCGUCUCUCUAGUGUUGUGCAACAAGAGCAUUUUCGUGGAUUCCACAUUUUGGCUCAUCCUUGGUUGCACGACCCCACUUAUCUUUUUGCGUGUGUGUUUCCGUGUACCUUAUAUUGCUUGGUCUACUUGUUGCAUUGCAAACUUGCGAAUCUUUUCCAACAUUAUUGAAGCUCACAAACAAUUGCAUCAAAUUUUGUGCCACCAUCUUAACCAAGCUCUACCAUAAGAUUUUACUUAUGUAGGUGUGAGAAACCGACAAGAAUUGGUACCAAUUGUGCUAUUUCCUUGUUCCACAUUGGAGUGCUCAUUGAUCCACCUUCAACUUUGGUCAAGGUACAUUUGGUAUACGUUCUUCUCUUUCACCCACUCACAUAUUUCUCUUGGAAUGAUGGAUAGGCCAAGUACUUCUACCAACCCACUCUUCAUUGAGCACGACGACAACAUGAACUCCUACAUCACCAAGAGCCACCUCUUUGUUGCACAACAUUCUUUGCAUAAAGAGCAACAAGCAAUGAGUGAACACAUCGACAACCUGGCCACUGACUUGCGACUCUCUGAGCAACAUACAAGGGACUACUUCGACCACAAGCUUGAUGAUCACAAGCAAGAAAACGACGCAAGAAUGGACGAGAUUUGUGCUUUGUUGCUCAACUGCUCUUUUUCCACUUUGUCCUCAUCAAAACGGAGCCGCACAAGUCGACACUCCGACUUCACCCUCUCCAGCUCAAGAACACCGACAUCGAACACUCUUCGACGUGUCGCGUGCAACGAUCGUCAAGCAAGCCGCAAUCCUCUACGUGACGCCGACUCUCAAGAGCACCGACAACGUCAAACCCAAGCGGCUUUUGCGCUAGCACGAGAACGGCAAUGACAACGCCAACAUGAAGAGGAAGAGCGAGCGUGUUUACACCAAGAUGCACAAGAUGUCGAGGCACAAAGCCAAGAACAGCAACUCCAUGACGCUCAAGCACUUGAGGUGCAACGUGCCCUCCGAGAUUCAAGUCGAGCCAUAGCCAACCGAGGCCGACAAGCUCGUGAACAUGAAGAAGCCCUUCGCGACGAAGCUCAUGAAUGAAGAUUUCAAGCUCGCGUGCAACACAAGCUCGCCAAGGACAUCAACUUCACCAAGAGCAUGAAGACAAAGAAAAUCCUCCACGAAAAGAGCAACAUGAGGUUGACAACCCUCCUCGCCAAGAGCACAAUGAGUUUGACAAUCAUCAACAACAUGGGCGUCAUCAUCCCCGACCCCAACACCAUGAAGAGCAACGCUGCGGCAAGCUUAAAUUCACCAUGCCCAAGUUCAAUGGAAGCAACAAUCUCGAAGAGUACCUUUCAUGGGCAUUGAAGGUCGACAAAAUCUUCCGCUUGCACAACUAUGAUGAAGAGAAGAAGAUCGCGAUGGCAUCCCUUGAGUUCCAAGACUAUGUCCUCAUUUGGUGGGAACAAGUUAUUGAGCGCCGUGAGGCAAGAGGUGAACCACCCAUCACUACUUGGGCGCAAAUGAAGGAUGUCAUGAGAGCACGCUUCGUGCCUACCUACUACAACCGCGACCUCUUCAAGAAACUCCAACUACUCAAGCAAGGAACCAAGAGCGUUGAAGAAUACUACAAGGAGAUGGCGAUUGCCAUGAUAAGAGCCAAUGUCAUGGAAGAUGAUGAGAAAACAAUGGCACGUUUCUUGAAUGGACUCAAUCAUCCAAUCAAGAAGAUCACCGACUUCCAACCAUACUCGAACCUCAUCAAGCUAGUGCAUCAAGAUACCAAAGCGGAACGUCAAGUGCAAGAGAUUACAAGUAUGCCAUGUUCUUAUCCAAGUCAUACGGUUUCUCCAACACCCAAGUUUAACGACUACAACACCGUCUACCAAGCCUUCUACAAGAAACGUCGACAAGUCAAGUUCCAAGAAAACUUCGACCACUCCAAGUCAUCCUACUACAAGCAACUUCAAGCCGAGAGCUUCAUCAUCAUCAACCCCCACUGAUGAGACCGUCAAGACAAGUUCCUUCAAAUGCUUCACAUGCGGAGGCCGAGGCCACAAGUCCUUUGAGUGUACCAACAAGCGAACCAUGAUCCUCAACGACGACGGCACUUAUGACUCAAUGAGUGAAGGAUAAAUGGAAGCCCUUGAGCAAGUGGCCAUACACCGGCAAGUGAAUGAAGAAGACACGGAACAAGUCUUUUUUGAUGAAGAUUCAAGUCCCGCUCUCGUUGUCUCCAUGGUCUUGACUCUUCAACAUCAACAAGAAGAAGACCAAAGAUGCCAUAUCUUCCAUACCAAUGCCGGCAUCAAUGGAAGAUCCGUCAAGGUCAUCAUCGAUGGAGGGAGGUGUCAUAACCUCGCAAGUGAAGAACUUUGCUCCAAGCUCCAAUUGCCCAAGACGAAGCACCCACAUCCCUACAAAGUUCAAUGGCUUAGCGACUCCGGCACUAUCCAAGUCGAGCAUCAAGUACAAGUCUCCUUCAAAAUUGGUGCCUACGAAGACAUUUUCGAGUGUGACGUCGUUCCAAUGACCAUUUGCCACCUUCUUCUUGGACGGCCAUGGCAAUUUGAUAGAGGUGUCAUCCACAACGGCCGAGCGAACCACUACAUCUUCAAGAUGAAGGGGAAGGAGUACGUACUUCGCCCUAUGUUGCCAAACCAAGUGAUCGCCAACAAGCAAGCCACCCAUCAUGGAGAGAAUAGUGAGAGAGUGAACCACCAAAAAGAGAGUGAGCGCCACAAACCCAAAUCGAGCGCCUCCAUGAUGAGCGACAAGAAGAACUUAGUUCUAUUUGCCACCAAAAGUGAGAUAAGAGGAGUGUGUGAGAACCCAUCUAGUGUCCUACACUAUGUCCUUUUGUGCAAGAGCAAUGCAACACCAACCAACACCUCUCACGCUCUACCUUUAGUGGUGUCUUCUCUUUUGCAGGAAUUUCAAGAUGUUUUCCCCGACGAGCUACCUCCGGGACUACCUCCACUACGAGGCAUCGAGCACCGCAUCGACCUCAUCCCCGGAGAACCUCUUCCGAACAAAGCUCCCUACCGCGUCAACCCCGAAGAAACCAAAGAAAUACAAAGGCAAGUAAAUCAUGUCAUAGACCAUGGACGUGUGCAUGAAAGUUUGAGCCCUUGUGCUGUUCCGGUCAUUCUUGUGCCAAAACGAGACGGUAGCUUUCGCAUGUGCUCCGAUUGUAGACCUAUCAAUGCUAUCACCAUUCGCUAUAGGUAUCCCAUUCGAUGCCUUGAUGAUAUGCUUGAUGAACUUAGUGGUGCCACUAUAUUCUCCAAGAUUGAUCUUAAAAGUGGUUACUAUCAAAUCCGCAUACAAGAGGGUGAUGAAUGGAAAACCGCUUUCAAAACCAACUUUGGGUUGUAUGAGUGGAUAAUCAUGCCUAUGGGUCUAUCGGAAGGACCGGGUACUUUUAUGCGUCUUAUGAAUCAUGUUUUUUGCCCUUAAAUUGGUGUGUUUGUUGUGGUCUACUUCGAUGAUAUCCUUGUUUAUAGCAAAUCUCUUAAAGAUCAUGUCACCCAUGUUCGAACCAUUUUGCAAACUCUUCGAAAAGAGCGUCUCUAUGCCAACAUGGAAAAGUUCCUUUUUGGCGUUGAUAAGCUCAUUUUCUUAGGUUUUGUUGUUUCCUCUAAGGGUGUUCAUGUUGAUGACUCUAAGAUCAAUGCUAUUAAAACUUGGCCACAACCAACCAACUUGCAUCAAGUGUGUAGCGUCCUUGGUUUAGCCGGUUUGUACCGUAGACUUGUCAAGGACUUUAGCACCAUUGCUUCCCCUUUGCAUGCUUUGAGCAAGAAAAAUGUGCCUUCUGUUUGGGGACAAUCCCAAGAUACCGCUUUCAAUGAGAUUAAGAAUUUGCUUACUCAUGCUCAUGUGCUUGCAUUACCCAACUUUGACAAAUCCUUUGAGAUUCAUUGUGAUGCUAGUGGUAAUGUAAUAGGAGCUAUGUUAACGCAAGAGAUGCGCCCCAUAGCUUACUUUAGUGAGAAACUUUCCGGAGCGCAACUCAAUUACCCCAUCUAUGACAAAGAGCUAUAUGCUUUAGUGCGAGUUUUGCACGAAUGGGAACACUUUUUUUGCCCCCAUGAAUUUAUCAUUCAUACCGACCAUGAAACGCUCAAGUAUCUUAAGGGUCAAACCAAUUUGAACAAGCGUCAUGCUAAAUGGAGAGAAUUCAUAGUCUUUUCCUUAUGUCAUCAAGUACAUCAAAGGUAAGGAAAAUAUUGUGACGGAUGCCCUUUCCCGCAUAUGCAUGCUUGUUAAUCAACUUGAAUUGGAUGUCAUUGGCUUUGAGCACAUAAAAGACUUGUCUGAGCAUGAUCCUACUUUUGCUACUCCUUAUGCCAAAUGUUUGACGCAUACCUCUUGGGAACGCUAUUACAUCAAAGAUGGAUAUCUAAUGAGAGCUAACAAACUUUGCAUCCCUGAGUAUUCUCUUUGUUUGUUGCUUUUGCAGGAAUCUCAUGGAGGAGGACUAAUGGGACAUUUUGGACGCGACAAGACUUUCGCUAUGCUCUCCAAGAAAUACUAUUGGCCCAAGAUGUUUCGCGACGUCAACCGCUUCACAAACCGAUGCUCUACAUCUCGCAAAGCUAAGUCUAAAACUCAAUCUCAUGGCCUUUACAUGCCUCUCCCAAUUCCAUAUCAACCAUGGGAAGACAUUAGCAUGGAUUUUGUAGUUGGAUUGCCUAGGACUAGAAAUGGAAAGGAUUCGAUAUUUGUCGUUGUGGACCGAUUUUCUAAGAUGGCACAUUUCAUUCCUUGCAACAAGAUAGACGAUGCUUCACAUGUUGCCAAUCUCUUUUGUAGGAAAAUAUUGCGUCUACGUGGAGUUCCAAAGACGAUCGUCUCGGACCACGACGUCAAGUUCCUAAGCUACUUUUGGAAGACCCUAUGCGCCAAGCUCGGAAUCAAGCUACUCUUCUCCAUGGCGUAUCAUCCACAAACCGACGGCCAAACGGAGGUGACCAACCGCACACUCUCCGCUCUACUUCACGUGCUCAUCAAAAAAACAUCAAGGAGUGGGAGGAGUGUCUACCUAUCACCGAGUUCGCCUACAACCGAGCAAGACACUCAACAACCGGCAAGUCCCCCUUCGAGGUCGUCUACGAAUUCAACCCAUUGUCACCAUUGGACAUUCUUCCUCUACAACUACAAGAGCGCAUCAAUAUGGACGCAAGUGCAUGUGUGAACCAUCUCAAGAAGGUGCAUGAGGAUACAAGGCACACAAUUGAGUGCCAAGUACAAUGACUUGCGACCCAGCUCAACAUCAACAAGCAACUCGUGGUAUUCGACAUUGGUAAUCUUGUGUGGCUACACCUUCGCAAAGACCGCUUCCCCAACGAACGCAAGUCCAAGCUCCUACCUCGAGAAGAUGGACCCUUCAAGGUGCUCGCACGCUACAACAACAAUGCUUACAAGAUCGAGCUCCCGUGCGACAAGUACAACAUUAGCGACAUCUUCAAUGUUAAGGACCUUUCGCCCUACCAUGGUGAUGAAGAAUUUGAUCCGAGGUCAGAUCUUCCCCAAGGGAGGGGAGAUGAUGCGGAGCAUCCCAAGGUCAUCCCCAUGGACCUUCCAUCGUCUCACCAAGUGCCUAGCGGACCCAUGACACGAGCACGUGCAAGAGGUCUCGAAACCAAGGUGACAUCUCUCCUCUCACAAGUUCACUUCGAUGCACAUGAGACAUGGCUACUAUCUCAAACAUAGAUGUUAUGCAUACUCAGGUAUCAAGGAGUUAGCCAUGAAGAAGCUAAGGAGCAAGAAGAAUCAUAAGAGGAAGAUGGACGUGAAGGAGAAGAGAUGUGGAAGAAGCUACAUGCUCCGGACGACCGACCCAGACCGGACGUCCGACGAUCUACAGGCUCCGGGCGACCAACCAAGACCGGUUGUCCGACGAUCUCUAGGCUCCGGACGUCCGACCUUCUCCGGACGACCGACACACCCACACCCGAGCCAAAACUACGGAUUUCCGAAGUCCUCCUGACGGCCGACCCCUACCGGACAUCCGAUCGAAGCACACCCGAGACGAAUCUACGGACGUCCGACGAGCACCGGACGUCCGGACACUCAUGAGCCUCCGGACGACCGGUGACUCCCGAACGUCCGAUGCCUAUGUGCUGUUAUGUGUUGGGUCGCAGCCCCUGUACCCCUUCGCCCCACCUAGACUAUAUAUACUUUUCUCCUACCUACGUUUUAGGGUUAGCAAAGGAUUAUCUCAUAUUUCGUGUGAGAGAUUUGCUCAUCCACUUGGUUACCUUCUCCUUGGAGAUAGCGCCUCCUCGGAGAAGAUCCCCCAAGCGGAUUCAAGACCCCUUUUAGGGAAGAACCUCAAGACCUCCUAACGGAGAAGAUCGGUUACCUUUGCAUCGUCGCUAGUUGACUAUGGACCGUGAGACACCUUAUGUACUCGAGGAUCUAGCAUAUGUGUGACUAUUUCUUGUUGGUUUAGUGUUUCUCUCGUGUUUCCCCUUGUCUUUUCCCUUGUAAUUUCCCUUGUGUUUUUCGUGUUCAUCGCGGGAUCCGCUCCUCUCGUGAAAGAUCGGCCCCUAGGGUUCCUACCCUACAUCAGCUAUUCUUGAUACCCAUGGUAAUGGGAUUGUUGAGUCCUCGUGGCUCACAGAUUACUGCAACAACAGGUGCAGGUAUAGGUAAAAUGAUGCUUUGACGUGAGAGCGAUGCUUGCUUGUUUUGGAGUUCUUCUGCUUCUUCUUUGAUCAAGGGAUAGGUUCCGGGUCAGGAUCCUGGAAUUACUAGGGUGGAUGUUGUUCUUCUUUUCGUUUGAUUUCAUCUGUAGUCGGAUCCUGCUCUUCUUUAUGAUGAUUGCUAUAUAUUGAUGUAUUUGUGUAUUCAUGUUGUAGCUUAUGGCGAGUGUAAGCCUUUAUCUUGUAUUCUCAUAUAUUCAGUACAUGGUAUGUUGUAAUGAUAUCCACCUUGCUAUGCGCUCGAAAUGCGGUUGUGCCCCAAUCAUGAGUUCAUCACAUGAUGGGGAUAGCAUUGCAUUUUGGGCGCUACAGAAGGACCAUAUAUUAUCGAAGAGGUUUAUCACUCUGGAGCUAUCAAAAUAAUUAAUGCCGAAAGUACUAACCUGAAGGUUGUCAAUGGGAAAAGAAUCAAACACUAUAUCUCAGCUACGCCUAUUAAUGUUGAAAGCAAUAUUAUUCAAACCAUGACACCGGAGGAACACAUAAAAGAAACUUCUGGAACUCUCCAGGAUCGUGAUUAAGAGGAGGUACGUGAUACGGUAAGUAAAUGGACUCCAAAAAAUCUGGAAAAAUAUAUUUUUGUCAGUUUUGGAAUAUUACAAAAAUUAGGAAAAUAAUAAACAACCACGAAGGCAACCGAGGAGGCACAAGACACUAGGGCGCACCUGCCUUGCCUGGUGCACCCAGGUGGGUUGUGCCCACAUCGGGCACCUUCCGGACUCCAUUUUCCCCUCGUUUUGAUUGUUUCCCAAGAUAAAAAAGCUUUAUAUACCCCCCGAAUGUAUUGACCACCGUAUCACGGAGAAAUCUUAUGUUCUUCUUUCUUGCUGUUUUUUGAUAGAUCUAGAUCGCCAUGGCCGCUCCGAGCUCCUCCAAGGACAAGUUCUUUGAUAAUGUCAUCAACCCGUAUUUGCGGGGGGUGAUGCAGCACUCUCAAGCCAUUGAGAUGUGUGAGGGGUGCUCCACAUCCGGGAUGUCUAGGGCCCAAGGGGAAGGGAACCGUGGAGGCUAGGCUCGAAGCCAUGGAGCAAGAGGUCUUCAAGUGCAGGGGAUGGUGGAGCACGGACUCAACGCCAAUCACCUCAUGAUCACGGAUUUCACCCGUGAUCACAAGGUGGAUGGUCGGUCCAUGAAGGACGUCGUCUUCACCCUCAAUGAGCAAAAAACUUCGUGCAAAGUAAAAUAUGCGAUCUUAAAAGUCAAGUCUUUGAAUAUGAGGCAAGAUCUAAAGGUAUGAGUUUGGCUGCCAGUUGCAGGACUCGCGAGACUCAUGCUUCCUCUUAUGAUGGUGAGCCGCUACCAUGGAAGCCGGAGGACCAACUUACUACCUCAUCUCCACCACCACCAUCACCUUCUUCACUACCAAAGGAGACUUGAGUAUCGGGUAUGAGCACUCCCAUUGGCUUGUGCCAAGCUUGGGGGAGGUGCCCGGGUAUCGUAUCACACCACCUUCUUUGCCUUUAUUUAUCCUAGUUCGAUCUUUAGUUAUCUUUUGAGUUAGUUGAAUAAAAGUUUAGUUCAAUCUUUUUCAAGUGUUUUCUUAGUGAUCUAUCUAUGUAAUCGUGUGCGAGAUAUAUAAUAAAUUUAGCUUGAGUUUUUCUUUAUUUACUUUUAUGUUUCAAUCAAAUUAAAAAUAAUAAUGAAAAAGAUCAUAUGCUAACCUUAUGGUAAGUAAUGACAUCACAUAAGGAAAAGUAUAAGUGGUAAAAUUUAUUAGAUAUUGACAAACAUAGCAUUGGUCAAUGAUGCAAUUCAUGAAAGAAUAAAUGAGGGAAGAGAAGAUUCACAUGCAAAUACACUAUCUUGGACAUCUUUUAUGAUUAUGAGCCCUCAUCAAAACAAUAUAUGCCAAAAUUGUUAACGUUGGACAAGGAAGACAAUGUAAUGAUUUAUGAUUGUUCUUAUUCACAUAGAAGUUAUAUUUUCAUGGAUCCUUUAACAUGUGGUGCUUGCCCCUAUCUUUGCUAGCCAAAAAUUCCGCACUAAGUACAAAUACUACUUGUGCAUCCAAAAACCCUUAAACCCAAAAUCUUGUUUUGAGAGUCCACCAUACCUACCUAUGGAUCGAGUAAGAUCCUUCAAGUAAGUUGUCAUCGAUGCAAUAAGGCAAUAAAAAUUGCUUCUAAAUGUGUUGGAUCAUUUAGUGUAAGAGAAAAUUGAGCGUUGUACGAACUUGUGAUGGAAAAAUAAUAAAGACGACAGACUAUGAUAUAAAGGUUGCUAUCAUAAGGGGCAAUAUAACGUGACGUUCUUUUGGACUAAGAGAUUGAGUAUACAAACCAAAAAGCACAUGACAACCUCUGCUUACCUCUACGAAGGGCCUAUCUUUUACUUUUAUGUAUUUACUUUAUGCAAGAGUCAAAGUAUUCUUCCCUAUUCUUUUUUAUUUUCUCUUUUGCAAGCAUCAUGUGGUGAUGAAAGAUCUAGGCACAUAUAUCCAGUUGGAUGUGAGUGAGCAUGAGUUAUUAUUGUUGACAUCACCCUUGAGGUGAAUACGUUGGUAGGCAAAACUAUAAGCCCCUAUCUUUCUAUGUGUCUGGUUGAAACUUUUUGCUCAUGGAUAUGCGGUGAGUGUUAGAAAUCAUAGAAGAUUAUGUGAUGGUUGAGUAUGUGGACUUGCCAAAAGGCUCCGAUACGAGACCCUUCCUGAAAAGAUGAUGAAUUGUAGUUGGAAGGUUGACUGAGAACAUUGUUUGUUGGUUUUCAAUAGAGUUUAUGCUUCUACUUCAUGUUGUGAUGAAUUGUUACUUGUUCAUGAGAAGUUAUAUGAUAAAAGUUAUGUGAUAAAGUUUUAUGAUAAGCUUUGUUGUUAUUAUAAUAACAUGCAUGAUGCUUCUAUGUCCGUACUUUGUUUUUAUUGACACCUCUCUCUCUCUAAGCAUGUGGACAUGUUUUUCGAUAUCGGUUUUUUGCUUGAGGACAAGUGAGGUCUAAACUUGGGGGAAUUGAUAUGUCCAUUUUGUAUCAUGUUUUCAUACUGUUAUUUAUAAUGUUUUUAUGCUUAAUAAUGCUUUAUGGAGUAAUUCUAAUGUCUUCUCUCUCAUAAUACGCAAGGUUUACACAAAGAGGGAGAAUGCCGGCAGCUGGAAUUCUGGACCUAAAAACCUACGUCAAAGUUACCUAUUCUGCACAUCUCCAAAUGAGCUGAAAAUUUACGGAGAAUUGUACUGGAAUAUAUAAAAAUACUGGAGCAAAUAACUACUAGAGGGGCCCACCUGGUGAGCACAAGACACCAGGGCGCGCCUGGGCCCCUAGGUGCGCCCUGGUGGGUUGUGCUCAGCACGGCCCACCUCCGGUGCCCAUCUUAUGGUAUAUAGGUCAUUUUGACCUAGAAAAAUAAGCAGACGACUUUGAGGACAGAGCGCCGCAGUCUCGAGAUGGGACUUGGGCAGGAGCACUUUUGCCCUCCGACGGAGCUUUUCCGCUGGGGGAACUUCCCUCUUGAAGGGGGGAAUCGAAGCCAUCGUCAUCACCAACAACCCUCUCAUCUUUGGGAGGGCAAUCUCCAUAAACAUCUUCAAUAGCACCAUCUCCUCUCAACCCUAGUUCAUCUCUUGUGUUCAAUCUUUGUACCGUAACCUCACAUUGGUACAUGUGGGUGACUAGUAGUGUUGAUUACAUCUUGUAGUUGAUUACUAUAUGGUUUAUUUGGUGGAAGAUUAUAUGUUCAGAUCCAUUAUGCUAUUUAAUACCCCUCUUGUCGUGGUUUUGUCACAGCAGAUGCCCUUGUGAAAGGACUUAUGUGUGGAGCCAUCGCAGCGUAUGUUAGCUUGAAGGGGUUGAACGGGAUAAAGGACACAGGGUUUACCCAGGUUCGGCCCCUCUCAAUGAGGUAAAAGCCUACUCCUGCUUUUGUUGACUAUUGCUUGGGUAUCGAUUACAAGGGUGUGGAAUCGCUUGACCUAGCUAUCGAUCAAUUGUUCUUGAGUUAACCCGCCGUAGGGUCUCACCUUUAUAUACACAGGUCGAGCCCCGGGGCUUACAAGAGUCCGAGUUGGGUCACACAACGUGACCAAUAAGGUUUCUAGGUCUCAUUGCCAUACCAGGCAAGUCACCAUCGGGCGGCUCUCACCUCCGGGUCUUGGGCCUUCAACAGGCCCGCCUCUUAAGCCGCCUCUAGUCUUCAUGUCUCCUCAGGCCCAUCUAAGCCUUUCAUUCUUGAGUCGCCAACAGUGUAACCCAGCCCCUCCUGGGCGGGUGUGAUCUUGAGCAUGAUUAUCAUUUGUGAUUAGUUACUUUUUUUCUUGAGGUCACGGGAGAAGUCAUGUUGCAAGUAAUCAUGUGAACUUGAUAUGUGUUUGAUAUUUUUAUGAUAUGUAUGUUGUGAUUCCCUUAGUGGUGUCAUGUGAACGUCGACUACAUGGCACUUCACCAUAUUUGGGCCUAAGGGAAUGCAAUGUGGAGUAGUUAUUAGAAGAUGGGUUGCUAGAGUGAUAGAAGCUUACACCCUAGUUUAUGCGCUACUUCGUAAGGGACCGAUUUGGAUCUAAAAGUUUAAUGCUAUGGUUAGAUUUUUAUCUUAAUAAUUUUCUUAUAGUUGCGGAUGCUUGCGAGAGGGUUAAUCAUAAGUAGGAGGUUUGUUCAUGUAAGAACAGCACCUAAGCACCGGUCCACCCACAUAUCAAAUUAUCAAAGUAGCGAACACGAAUCAAACCAACAUGAUGAAAGUGCCUAGAUGAAAUUCCCGUGUACCCUCAAGAACGCUUUGCCUAUUAUAAGAAAUCAGUUUGGCAUGUCCUUUACCACAAAAGGAUUGGGCUACCUUGCUGCACUUUAUUUACCAUUACCGUUACUUGCUCGUUACAAAUUAUCUUGCUAUCAAACUAUCUGAUACCGACAAUUUCAGUGCUUGCAGAAAAUAAUCUGCUGAAAACCACUUGUCAUUUCCUUCUGCUCCUCGUUGGGUUCGACACUCUUUCUUAUUUAAAGGACUACGAUUGAUCCCCUAUACUUGUGGGUCAUCAUAGGGUCAAGUGAACGGGGUUUUAACCCCUUUUUCUUCAGGAAUUCCUUUAGAGUAUCAUACCAAGCCCGUGGGGCUUGCUUGAGGCCAUAGAGAGCCUUGUUUAGUCUGAAGACUUUGUCAGGAUGCUUUCGAUCCUCAAAACCUGGUGGUUGAGCAACAUAUACUUCUUCCUCAAGCUUACCUUUGAGGAAUGCACUUUUCACAUCCAUUUGAUAUAAGAGAAUAGUGUGAUGGUUAGCAUAUGCAAGCAAUAUACAGAUAGCUUCAAGCCUAGCAACAGAUGCAAAUGUUUGAACGAAAGCAAUACCCUCAACCUGUGUGUAGCCUUGUGAUACAAGACGGGCCUUAUUCCUCACCACUUGGCCAUUUUCGUCUUCCUUAUUGCGGUAGAUCCACUUAGUGCCGAUGAUAUUGUGCUUACAUGGACCAAGACGAUUCACAAGCUACCACACAUUGUUGAGCUCGAAUUGUUGCAAUUCUUCCUGCAUAGCUUGAAUCCACUUAGGCUCCAGAAAUGCUUCAUCAACUUUGGUGGGCUACAAAAGUUAGCUAGAUGUGAAGCCCUUGAGCGAGUGAGAGGAUUGAUACGUCUCCAAUGUAUCUAUAUUUUUUGAUUAUUCCAUGCUAUUAUAUUAUCUGUUUUGGAUGUUUUAUGUGCAUUAAUAUGCCAUUUUAUAUUAUUUUGGGGACUAACCUAUUAACCUAGAGCCCAGUGCCAGUUUCUGUUUUUCCUUGUUUUUGAGUUCUGCAGAAAAGGAAUAUCAAACAAAGUCCAAACGAGCUGAAAAUUUACGGUGAUUUUUUAUGGACCAGAAGAAGCCCACGGAGCAUCGGAGAUGGACCACAAGAGUCCCGAGGCAACCACAAGGGUGGAGGGCCCCCCUCCCCAGGGUGCCCCCUAGGGCGUGCCCCUGGCUUGUGGGUCCCUCGGGAACCCCCUUGACAUGAGCCCAAUGCCAAAAAUUCCUAUAAAUACACAAACUUCAGAAAGAAACAUAGAUUGGGAGUUCCGCCACUACAAGCCUCUGUAGCCGCAAAAAACCAAUCGGGAGCCUGUUCCGGCACCCUGUCGGAGGGGGAAACCAUGCUGAGGGUAUGUACCCGUAGCUAUGUGUUUGAUCUCUCUCUCUCUCUCAUGUUCUUAAUUUGGCAUGAUCUUGAUGUACCAUGAGCUUUGUUACUAUAGUUGAAUCAUGGUGUUUCUCCCCCUCUACCUUCUUGUGAUGAAUUGAGUUUUACCUCUGAGGUUUCACUAUUAUCGGAUUGAAUACUAUUAUGGAUUUGAGAACACUGGAUGUAUGCCUUGCAUGGGAUACCCGUGGUAACAAUGGGGUGUUAUAUUGAUUCACUUGAUGUAUGUUUUGGCACUCAACUCGCGGAUUCCUGAGGUGACAUUGGGGUAAUCUAUGCAUAGGGGUUGAUGCAUGUUUCCAUCCUUGUUUCUCCAGUAGGAAUCUUGGGGCACUCUUUGAGGUUCUUUGUGUUGAAUUGAAUAUUAUGAAUUUGAAGUUGUUUGAUGCAUAUCGUACAAUUGACCCACGAAUAUUUGUGGUGACAUUGGAGUAUCUAUGUGACAUUAGGGUUGAUUGAUGUGUGUGAUAUGGUGUUAUUUUUCUACGAACUCUAGGGCUGUUUGUGACACUUAUAGGAAUAGCUCAAUGGAUUGAUCAGAAAGAAUAACUUUGAGGUGGUUUCGUACCCUACAAGCAAUUUCAUCUCAUGUUCUCCGCGAUAGGAACUUUGGAGUGACUCUUUGUCGCACGUUGAGGGAUUGACAUAUGAUUUAAUUAUUUUAUCAUUCUUGAGAGAACUUGCACUGGUGAAAGUAUGAACCCCAGGCCUUGUUUCCAAGCAUUGCAAUAUCGUUUUCGCUCACUUUUACUACUUGCUAACUUGCUGUUUUUGAUAUUUUCAGAUUACAAAAACAUAUAUCUACCAUCCAUAUUACACAUGUAUCACCAUAUCUUUACUGAACUAGUUCACCUAUACAAUUUACCAUUGUAUUGGGUGUGUUGGGGACAUAAGAGAUUCUGUUAUUUGGCUGUAGGGUUGUUUGAGAGAGACUAUCUUCAUCCUACGCCUCCCACGGAUUGAUAAACCUUAGGUCAUCCACUUGAGGGAAAUUUGCUACUGUCCUACAAAACUCUAUGCUUGGAGGCGCAGCACGAGUUUACAAGAAGAAGGUUGCGUAGUAGGCAUCAAGCUCUUUUCUGGCGCCUUUGCCGGGGAGGUGAGUGCUUGAAGGUAUAUCUUUAGAUCUAUCAAUUGAAUCUUUGAGUUUCUUGUUUUAUCACUAGUUUAGUCUAUAAAAGAAAACUACAAAAAAAUGGAAUUGAGGUUGCCUCAUAUGAUUCAUCUUUUUAAUGUCUUUCGUGAAAUGAUGGAAAGGAAAAUUGUGCUCAAGUGUUAGAAGAAGAAAUCAAUAAAAUGUUUGGCUCAAAAUUUUGAAUGAUAAACAUGAUUGCAAUGAUUUUAGUGUGCUUGCUAUGAAUAUGAAUGACACUAAUGAUUAUUGCACUAGUGAUGAUAAAGAAGUUUCUUAUAAGCAUGUCAAUUUUCAUGGAGUGAAUAGAGUUUGUGGUGACAUGCCUUAUAGGGAUGAUAGAUCUUGUAAUUAGCGCAAACAUGAUGAAACCAAUCGAUGGCUUAAGGUGAUAGAUAAAUUUGCUACAAAAUUAUGCUCUCUUCAUCCCAUUACUUGUGAACUUUGCAGUAGAGUUGGUCAUGUUAAUUUUCAAUGCAUACUUUUUCAUGAUCGAAUCAUUACCAAAUAUUGCAAUAACUUGAUCACCCUGGAACUUUAUAAUGAGCUUUGUUUAUUUUUGGGGUGUGAAUAAUUGUCACAUAAAAAUAGUUGGUUUAAAUCAUUCAUAUUCACCGACAAUGCUGAAACUACUCUUAAAUAAAUCUAUAUGUUUUGUGUGGUAAAUUGCAUUGAGAAUGCUUAUAUUGCCAACUAUAGGAAGAUGGGAAAACCAUUAGAAUAUAAAAGAAACACUAAUGAAAAGGUAAAGCUCUCAACUUUCCCUCCUAUUGUCUCUCGUGAUGAAACAAGUUAUGAGAAUGAGCUUCCUAUGCAACCAAUCUCAUCAAUAAGGAGCUCCAAAAAUGAUGCAGAGCAUCCUACGGUCAACCCCAUGGACCUACCAUCGCCUCAACAAGAGCCAAGAGGACCCAUGACACGAGCUAGAGCUAGAAGCUCUCGAGAACGAGGUGACUUCCUUCCUUAGUGAUAUUACAUAUGAUCCUCUCGAGACAUGGCUACUACCUAAAUCCGAGACGUUGUGCAUGAUUAGGUACCAAGAGGACCCUCCCCGAAGAUGCACAUGAAGAUGUACAAGUCCCCAAGUUCACGAAUGAAGGGGAACGCCGAGAGGAGAAGAAGGAAGCUCCGGGACCCGGACAUCCGGCCCCAAGCCCGGACAUCCAGCCGCUGGAGACUUCGACCACAACAGCCUACCAACCGCCGCACAUCUACAAGCCCCGGACAUCCGGCCCGGCCCGGAAAUCCGGCCUCGAGCCCAGAUAUCCGGACACCACCUUCCCGAAAGCGACAUGGCCAGCUUCACCAGCCCGGACAUCCGGCCUCCACAGCCCGGACAUCCGGCCCUCUGCGAGCGCCCGGACGUCCGGCCUCCCCUGUCUGCACACAGUGUAAGGGCUGAGGACCGUGUACCCCUUCGCCCCCCCUAGACUAUAUAUACUCUUCUCCUACCUACGUUUUAGGGUUAGCAUUGGUUUAGCUCAUAUUUAGAGAUAGAGCAUUGCUCAUCCACAUCGGAUCUACUCCACGAGAGAGAUCGCGGCCCCUCUUCGGAGAAGAUCCCUUUGGAUUCAAGACCUCCUUGUGGGGAAGAACAUCAAGACCUCCUCACGAAGAAGACUGGCUACCUCUGUAUCGUCCUUAGUUGUCUGUGGAUCGUGUGUUCUCUUAUUGAUAGUGAUAGAGGCAAAGGUGUCCCGUCUUUCGAUGAGAUGAUGGAUAUCGGUUUGGUGGAAGUCGACUUUGACGAUCCGACUACGAACGUGCGAGGACGUCGCGCCUUAGCAAUCGCUAAACCAACUCCGAGAGGUUAUUGACCACGCCGGAGCACGAUCAACCUGACCACGAGGGUCUGUUUCCUGCGAGCAAACGAAGAACAAGCAAGAAACUAAGAUUGCAAUCUGGAUAUUGCGAAUAUAAGAUGAAAGCUUUAUUGAUCAAGGUGGGGUUCUGUGACGCCUUUGUCUGGUCGUUGAACACAAACGAAGUACGCGAAGUUGCAGCUAUGGCGAACUUUUAAUCUAAACAAAACCCCCAAAGUCUAAACGAUGCCCUAAGGGCUGUAUAUAUGGAGGAAGAGGGGGGAAUUUCGUGGCCCUUGGUGGAGGGGUCCGAAAUCAACCCUAUCUCUUGUUUCCCCACACAUACGGACUCUAAAAAUAGCCUAUACUUAUGUAUUUCGAAAUUACAUGGGCCUGACCCAAUAAUAAGGUGACGCAGCACCUAAAAUAGCCUCGGGACGAAAUUUAUGAAGUGGCAUCUUGUAUAUUUCGUCCAAGGCUUCAUGCACCCAUUAUGGUGGCUUCAAAGUCCUGAAAUCAUCACUUGUAACUCCGUUCUUGUUUCCCUUGCGCAUGCCAUCAUCUCCAUGCUUGUUCUUGCUCCAAUGUUCAUCCUUCUCCAAGCUAGGCCCUUCAUUUGUAAGCAAAACAAAUGUAUCCAGUUUAGGCAGCAUCAUAUUCUCAUGAACAUUAGAAUCAUUACCAAGAAACGAAAGUACCUGGUAAUUUAGUUGGCGUGCACGAGCUCUAGUAAUUGGUCCAGUAUGUAUAGCAGCAGGGGCUGUGGGUGUAACAAUUGUAUUGAUGUCCUCAUCAUAAUCCCAGUGGCACGUCUUGUGGAAAGACGUCAGCGAACUCCUGCAAAAUGUUAGUGAUAGCAGGAGGCAAAGAGGAAGGCACGUCCUCGAAUGAAAAUAAUGCCUCUUUGCACACAAAAGCAUAGCAAACAGAUUUGCUGAAAUCUAGCUCAUCAAUAUCAGAUUUGGUGGCAAUUAAACAUGCACUUUUCAAUUUAAUUUCAGAAGCAACACUAGAUGGUUUAUUAUUAGGCUUCAUUUGUUGCUCAAAUUCUUUUGCCACAAUCUGAUUUUCACUCUUAUUCUUCUCUUGUUUUGCUUUAUUAGCUCUAUGAAUAUCAUCUUUCAAAAUAGAAUCAGGAGUCAUAGGAAGCAAAGUAAUAUUUUUAUCCUUAUGAACAAGAGUAUACUGAUUGUUUCUACCAUGGUGUACAAAAUUUUUAUCAAAUUGCCAUGGUCUACCAAGUAAUAAGGAACAUGCUUGCAUAGGUACCACAUCACAAUCAACAUAAUCAGCAUAUGUAGAUAUACUAAAAUGCACACGAACAGUACGUGUUACCUUAACCUUGCCGCUGUUGUUGAACCAUUGGAUGUAGUAAGGAUGUGGAUGUGGUCUUGUGGUGAGAGAAAGCUUCUCCACCAUCUCCAUGCUAGCCAAGUUGUUGCAGCUACCUCCGUCUAUGAUGACGCGCACAGAACGUUCCUUCACAACUCCCUUGGUAUGGAACAAAUUGUGCCUCUGAUUUUGCUCAGCUUGUGUGACCUGCACACUCAAAACACGUUGAGCAACUAAACAUUCAUACUUGUCAGCGUAUUCAGGAGCCAUUGCGUCUCAUGAUCAGAAUCAUCUCCACCAUGUUCUUCACGUGUAAUAAGAGCCAAAGUCUCCUCAUCAUAGUCACUAGUGGACUCAUAUCCACCAUCCGCGGUAGCAAUCAUCACACACGGAGAUUUGCAUUCUCUCGCAUAAUGACCUCCUCCCUUACAACGACGACAAAUAAUAUCACUUGUGUGCCUUGUUGAUGCCAUGGAAGAAGAAGAACUCCGUGCAGGCCCAGCAGGUGCGCUCUUGGCAGAUAAUGGUGGUUGUGCCUGUUUUCUUGUAUCACGACUGGAGGAGGCACCUAAUUGAGGUGCUGGUGCAGUUGAAGUAGAAGAUGCACGCGGUGUCCAUGAUGAAGGUCGGCCUGCAUAAAAGUUAGUUCGCGCCAAUGCUUGUCGUUCCUGCACUUCACGUUCAGCUUUACAAGCAAGAUGGAAUAAACGAGUGAUAUUAGUAUACUCCUUAUAGUCUAGAAUGGUCUGAAUCUCUCUAUUUAAUCCACCCAGAAAACGUGCAAGCAUAGCUUCAUUCUCCUCAACAAUACCACAUCUAAUCAUGCCAGUUUGUAAUUCCUGAUAAUAUUCUUCUACAGAAUUUUUCCCUUGUCUUAAACGCUGCAAUUUUUGAAGCAAUUCACGUUGAUAAUAUGGUGGAACCGAACGCGUACGCAUAGCAGUUUUCAAAGCAGCCCAAGUAGUUGGAAUAGGAUAUAAUCUACAAUGUUCAGACCACCAUACACAUGCAAAACUAGUGAAAGCACAAACAGCAGCAGCAACUCGUCUCUCCUCAGGAUAUUGUAAACAUGUAAAUCGUUGUUCAGUUUCUAACUCCCAAGUAAGAUAUAUAUCAGGAACAUAUCUACCCUCAAAUGGUGGAAUAUUCAAUUUCAGUUUAGGAAUAUGGACAUCAUCUCGUACCUGAGGUGGUGGUGCAGGCCUACCAUUACGAAUAUAUACCUGAGGUCGACCUGCUGGUGGUGGUGCUGGUGGCUACUCGUAGAUCUGAUUUUGAUCAACCUCAUCCUCAUAAUCGCCCGCAUACUCAUCAUCCUCCUGGGUACCAGCAGGAGCAGUAGCAGGAGCCAAAGAAGCACCAACAGCAGUAACAACGGCACCAGAAUUUUGUCCUGGCACAAUAGGAACACGCUGUGCUCGUCCAUACUGAUUCGGAAGGGGGCGUAGUUGUUGUUGUUGCAGAGGUGCGACAGGUGCAGCCGGUGGUGGAAGACGCGCAAGCAGUUCAUUAAAUCUGUUAUCGAGCUUUGUUUCGAACGUCUUCUCAAGGCCAGUGAUCUUCUCCAUGGCCUCUUCAAAAUUGUUCAGCACAUCUUGUACCUGUUCAGUCAUCAUUUGCUGAAACUUAUCAUGAAGCUCCUUGUUCGAUAAGUUCUCCCAGUCAAUCUCGUCGGCUUGUGAUCCUGGCAUGGUUAGCAGCAAUAGAAACACACAAGAAUAUGAUCCUACAGACUACUAAGAAGUGGUGGUGGUGUAUCACAAAUCCGUCAAGCAAAUCUCAAAUUCUUACCAGUUCUUACCCAGCAGCAGGCGGUGAUCGGCAACCCUUGUAGUCAAAAACUCUCAAAGCUUGGAUAGAGCGAUUACCAGGGAGAGUCAAACACACGACGUAGAUGUAUGUGGAGCUGGGAAGGCUUAUAGUAUGGUAGCAAAAAGGGUCAGCAAUAAUCAAUUCAGAGAUGCAAAGUUGAAUAAACGCUCAACGACGGUACUGUGCUGGUCCUAGGCUAGACUGUGCUAGAGACGCGAGCCUAGAACACCAACAAAAUCACGGCGCGGCACGUAAACAAGGGAAAAGCACACUCUGAAUUUUUUUUUCGCUCUUUUUUUUUGCGCUCUCUUUUUUUUUGCGCUGCUUUUUUUUUGCGAAAAAUCACUAUAAUGGCGAGUGUCUCAAAACUCUUCUUAGCUCAAACUGACAGGAUGGGCACGAAAUUUUUUUCGACCAAUUUUUUUUUUUGACUGCCCGGACCCAAAAACUGGAAACGGGUCAAAAAAAACUUCCUAUAAUGGCACCUGUCUCAAAACACUCAGAAACACCUAAACAUAGGAUAGCCAGAAAAUUUUUCGAAAAAUGCGUUUUCGAAAAAUUUUGGGCCUAAACGGAGCGUGGCUACCCGACUCUUUUUUUUUCCGAAACCUACGCCGGCAAGGAAACACGAAUCGGAAACUAGAUGGAUCUCGAAAACAACCCUAAUAAUCAAGGAACUCGGAUUGGUGGUGGAUAUAUGGUGGUGGUAUAUGGCAGCGGUGGUGGUAGUAUAUGGAUAUGGAUCGGUGGUGGUAUAUGGACACGGAUUGGUGGUGGUAUAUGGAUACGGAUUCGGAGCGGUGGUGGUAGAUGGCAGGGGCGAUGAUGAUGGUGCGGCGGCAGCGUGACAACUUAUGACCAGAACUCGAAACUCUAAAAGACUAGACUCUAAGACCAGCAACUAGACAUGACGAUGCAACCGCAAAUUCAACAAAGCAAAACCCGAAAAAGACUAUGCAAAGGCUCAGAUUGGUUCGGAUAUGAUGAACUAACCCUAAAUUUUUUUUGUGGCUUUUUCGGGGACUGUAGGUAUGAAGAACAGACUCGAUCUAAACUACGAAAAACUGUAAAAUCUCACCGAGCAACCUGGAAAUCUGAUACCACUUGAUAGAGGCAAAGGUGUCCCGUCUUUCGAUGAGAUGAUGGAUAUCGGUUUGGUGGAAGUCGACUUUGACGAUCCGACUACGAACGUGCGAGGACGUCGCGCCUUAGCAAUCGCUAAACCAACUCCGAGAGGUUAUUGACCACGCCGGGGCACGAUCAACCUGACCACGAGGAUCUGUUUCCUGCGAGCAAACGAAGAACAAGCAAGAAACUAAGAUUGCAAUCUGGAUAUUGCGAAUAUAAGAUGAAAGCUUUAUUGAUCAAGGUGGGGUUCUGUGACGCCUUUGUCUGGUCGUUGAACACAAACGAAGUACGCGAAGUUGCAGCUAUGGCGAACUUUUAAUCUAAACAAAACCCCCAAAGUCUAAACGAUGCCCUAAGGGCUGUAUAUAUGGAGGAAGAGGGGGGAAUUUCGUGGCCCUUGGUGGAGGGGUCCGAAAUCAACCCUAUCUCUUGUUUCCCCACACAUACGGACUCUAAAAAUAGCCUAUACUUAUGUAUUUCGAAAUUACAUGGGCCUGACCCAAUAAUAAGGUGACGCAGCACCUAAAAUAGCCUCGGAACGAAAUUUAUGAAGUGGCAUCUUGUAUAUUUCGUCCAAGGCUUCAUGCACCCAUUAUGGUGGCUUCAAAGUCCUGAAAUCAUCACUUGUAACUCCAUUCUUGUUCUUGCUCCAAUGUUCAUCCUUCUCCAAGCUAGGCCCUUCAUUUGUAAGCAAAACAAAUGUAUCCAAUUUAGGCAGCAUCAUAUUCUCAUGAACAUUAGAAUCAUUACCAAGAAACGAAAGUACCUGGUAAUUUAGUUGGCGUGCACGAGCUCUAGUAAUUGGUCCAGUAUGUAUAGCAGCAGGGGCUGUGGGUGUAACAAUUGUAUUGAUGUCCUCAUCAGAUAGAGGCAAAGAUGUCCCGUCUUUCGAUGAGAUGAUGGAUAUCGCUUUGGUGGAAGUCGACUUUGACGAUCCGACUACGAACGUGCGAGGACGUCGUGCCUUAGCAAUCGCUAAACCAACUCCGAGAGGUUAUUGACCACGCCGGAGCACGAUCAACCUGACCACGAGGGUCUGUUUCCUGCGAGCAAACGAAGAACAAGCAAGAAACUAAGAUUUCAAUCUGGAUAUUGCGAAUAUAAGAUGAAAGCUUUAUUGAUCAAGGUGGGGUUCUGUGACGCCUUUGUCUGGUCGUUGAACACAAACGAAGUACGCGAAGUUGCAGCUAUGGCGAACUUUUAAUCUAAACAAAACGCAAAGUCUAAACAGUGCCCUAAGGGCUGUAUAUAUGGAGGAAGAGAGGGGGAAUUUCGUGGCCCUUGGUGGAGGGGUCCGAAAUCAACCCUAUCUCUUGUUUCCCCACACAUACGGACUCUAAAAAUAGCCUAUACUUAUGUAUUUUGAAAUUACAUGGGCCUGGCCCAAUAAAAAGGUGACGCAGCACCUAUAAUAGCCUCUGGACGAAAUUUAUGAAGUGACAUCUUGUAUAUUUCGUCCAAGGCUUCAUGCACUCAUUAUGGAGGCUUCAAAGACCUGAAAUCAUCACUUGUAACUCUGUUCUUGUUCCCCUUGCGCAUGCCAUCAUCUCCAUGCUUGUUCUUGCUCCAAUGUUCAUCCUUCUCCAAGCUAGGCCCUUCAUUUGUAAGCAAAACAAAUGUAUCCAAUUUAGGUAGCAUCAUAUUCUUAUGAACAUUAGAAUCAUUACCAAGAAACGAAAGUACCUGGUAAUUUAGUUGGCGUGCGCGAGCUCUAGUAAUUGGUCCAGUAUGUAUAGCAGCAGGGGCUGUGGGUGUAACAAUGGUAUUGAUGUCCUCAUCAUCCUCACCUUCUUGAAAUGAAGUCGUCCUCGACGGAAGCUCAUCUUCCUCACCCAAAUAAGGCUUCAAAUCUGCAAUGUUAAAAGUGGGACUAACCCCAAAAUCUGCAGGCAGCUCAAGUUUAUAUGCAUUAUCAUUUAUUUUCUCUAACACCUUAAAGGGACCAUCAGCCCGUGGCAUGAGCUUUGAUUUGCGCAAAUCAGGAAAUCUAUCCUUACGCAAAUGUAACCGAACAAGAUCUCCAGGUGCAAACACAACAUGUUUUCUACCCUUAUCUCCAGUAAGUUUAUAUUUGGCAUUCAUAUGCUCAAUGUUUUCCUUAGUUAACUCAUGCAUUUUUAAAAUCAAUUCAGCACGUUGUUUAGCAUCAAAAUUAACCUUCUCCGAAGAUGGAAGAGGCAACAAAUCAAUAGGUGCACGAGGUAGGAAACCAUACACAACUUCAAAAGGGCACAUCUUAGUAGUAGAAUGCAAUGAACGAUUAUAAGCAAAUUCAAUAUGAGGCAAGCAUUCCUCCCACAUUUUCUUAUUACUCUUCAAAACAGCCCUAAGCAUAGUAGACAAUGUUCUAUUGACUACUUCAGUUUGGCCAUCAGUUUGGGGGUGACAAGUAGUACUAAAAAGCAGUUUAGUCCCCAACUUAGCCCAUAAACAUCUCCAAAAGUGGCUAAGAAAUUUAGUAUCACGAUCUGAAACAAUAGUAUUUGGGACACCAUGCAAGCGAAUAAUUUCACGAAAGAACAAAUCAGCAACAUUAACAGCAUCAUCGCUUUUAUGACAUGGUAUAAAGUGUGCCAUUUUCGAGAAUCUAUCCACGACAACAAAUAUGCUAUCCCUCCCCUUCUUUGUUCGAGGUAAACCUAAAACAAAGUCCAUAGAUAUAUCCUCCCAAGGAACACUAGGUACAGGCAAAGGCAUAUAUAAACCAUGAGGAUUGAGUCGUGACUUAGCUUUUUGACAUGUAGUGCAGCGAGCAAUAAAACGCUCAACAUCCCGUCCAAUCUUUGGCCAAAAGAAAUGUGUAGCAAGUACGUCCUCCGUCUUCUUCACGCCAAAGUGUCCCAUUAAUCCUCCUCCAUGCGCCUCCUGCAACAACAAAAGACAAACGGAGCUAGCUGGAAUGCAUAGCUUGUUAGCACGAAACACAAAUCCAUCGUUAACGACAAACUUGUUCCACAUUCUUCCUUCUUUACAAUUCUGCAUUACAUCUUUAAAAUCAGCAUCAUGCACAUAUUGAUCUUUGAUGGUCUCCAAACCAAAUAUUUUGAAGUCAAGUUGUGAAAGCAUAGUAUAGCGACGAGACAAUGCAUCAGCAAUAACAUUUUCUUUUCCCUUCUUGUGUUUAAUGACAUAAGGGAAAGUCUCAAUGAAUUCAACCCAUUUAGCAUGUCUACGAUUCAGUUUAGCUUGACUUUUAAUAUGUUUCAAAGAUUCAUGAUCAAAAUGUAUAACAAAUUCUUUGGGCCAUAAAUAAUGUUGCCAUGUUUCUAAAGUCCGAACAAGAGCAUAUAAUUCUUUAUCAUAAGUAGAAUAAUUCAGACUAGGCCCACUCAAUUUUUCAGAAAAGUAUGCAACAGGUUUGCCAUCUUGUAAUAACACACCUCCUAAUCCAAUUCCACUAGCAUCACAUUCAAGCUCAAAAGUCUUAUUAAAAUCAGGAAGUUGGAGUAAAGGAGCAUGUGUCAACUUAUCUUUCAAUACCGAGAAGGUUUCUUCCUGUGCGGUACCCCAAAGAAAAGGCACAUCUUUCUUUGUAAGCUCAUUGAGAGGUGCAGCAAUGGUGCUGAAAUCUCUCACAAAACGCCUAUAGAAUCCAGCGAGGCCAAGAAAACUCCUCACUUGUGUGACCGUUUUGGGCUGCGGCCAACUCUCAAUAGCUUCAGUCUUGGCUUUAUCAACUUCAAUUCCCUGUGGAGUAACAACAUAGCCAAGAAAAGAUACUCGGUCGGUGCAAAAGGUGCACUUCCCAAGGUUACCAAACAAACGUGCAUCACGUAGAGCAAUAAAAACAGCACGUAAAUGUUCCAAAUGUUCUUCCAAAGAUCUGCUAUAAAUCAGUAUAUCAUCAAAAUAGACUACCACAAAUCGUCCAAUGAAAGCACGUAAAACUUCGUUCAUUAGUCUCAUGAAAGUACCAGGCGCAUUAGUUAACCCAAAAGGCAUGACUAACCACUCAUAUAAUCCAAACUUAGUUUUAAAUGCUAUUUUCCAUUCAUCCCCCAAUUUCAUACGAAUUUGAUGGUAUCCACUACGCAAAUCAACUUUGGAGAAUAUUGUAGAGCCACUCAAUUCAUCAAGCAUAUCAUCUAGCCUAGGAAUAGGAUGAAGAUAACGAAUAGUAAUAUUAUUAAUGCCUCUACAAUCAACACACAUACGCGAUGUACCAUCCUUUUUCGACACUAGAAUAAUAGGAACAGCACAAGGACUAAGGGAUUCGCGUAUAUAACCUUUGUCGAGAAGCUCUUGUACUUGACGCAUAAUCUCCUUCGUCUCCUCUGGAUUGGUACGGUAUGGCGCACGGUUUGGCAGUGAACCACCGGGAAUUAAGUCGAUCUGAUGCUCAAUCCCUCGAAUAGGUGGUAAUCCCGGUGGCACAUCUUGUGGAAAGACGUCAGCGAACUCCUGCAAAAUGUUAGUGAUAGCAGGAGGCAAAGAGGAAGGCACGUCCUCGAAUGAAAAUAAUGCCUCUUUGCACACAAAAGCAUAGCAAACAGAUUUGCUGAAAACUAGCUCAUCAAUAUCAGAUUUGGUGGCAAAUAAACAUGCACUUUUUAAUUUAAUUUCAGAAGCAACACUAUAUGGUUUAUUAUUAGGCUUCAUUUGUUGCUCAAAUUCUUUUGCCACAAUCUGAUUUUCACUCUUAUUCUUCUCUUGUUUUGCUUUAUUAGCUCUAUUAAUAUCAUCUUUCAAAAUAGAAUCAGGAGUCAUAGGAAGCAAAGUAAUAUUUUUAUCCUUAUGAACAAGAGUAUACUGAUUGUUUCUACCAUGGUGUACAGAAUUUUUAUCAAAUUGCCAUGGUCUACCAAGUAAUAAGGAACAUGCUUGCAUAGGUACCACAUCACAAUCAACAUAAUCAGCAUAUGUAGAUAUACUAAAAUGCACACGAACAGUACGUGUUACCUUAACCUUGCCGCUGUUGUUGAACCAUUGGAUGUAGUAAGGUUGUGGAUGUGGUCUUGUGGUGAGAGAAAGCUUCUCCACCAUCUCCAUGCUAGCCAAGUUGUUGCAGCUCCCUCCAUCUAUGAUGACGCGCACAGAACGUUCUUUCACAACUCCCUUGGUAUGGAACAAAUUGUGCCUCUGAUUUUGCUCAGCUUGUGUGACCUGCACACUCAAAACACGUUGAGCAACUAAACAUUCAUACCUGUCAGCGUCUUCAGGAGCCAUGUAUUGCGUCUCAUGAUCAGAAUCAUCUCCACCAUGUUCUUCACGUGUAAUAAGAGCCAAAGUCUCCUCAUCAUAGUCACUAGCGGACUCAUAUCCACCAUCCGCGGUAGCAAUCAUCACACGCGGAGAUUUGCAUUCUCUCGCAUAAUGACCUCCUCCCUUACAACGACGACAAAUAAUAUCACUUGUGUCCCCUGUUGAUGCCAUGGAAGAAGAAGAACUUUGUGCAGGCCCAGCAGGUGCGCUCUUGGCAGAUAAUGGUGGUUGUGCCUGUUUUCUUGUAGCACGACUGGAGGAGGCACGUGAUUGAGGUGCUGGUGCAGUUGAAGUAGAAGAUGCACGCGGUGUCCAUGAUGAAGGUCGGCCUGCAGAAAAGUUAGUUCGCGCCAAUGCUUGUCGAUCCUGCACUUCACGUUCAGCUUUACAAGCAAGAUGGAAUAGACGAGUGAUAUUAGUAUACUCCUUAUAGUCUAGAAUGGUCUGAAUCUCUCUAUUUAAUCCACCCAGAAAACGUGCAAGCAUAGCUUCAUUCUCCUCAACAAUACCACAUCUAAUCAUGCCAGUUUGUAAUUCCUGAUAAUAUUCUUCUACAGAAUUUUUUCCUUGUCUUAAGCGCUGUAAUUUUUGAAGCAAUUCACGUUGAUAAUAUGGUGGAACCCAACGAGUACGCAUAGCAGUUUUCAAAGCAGCCCAAGUAGUUGGAAUAGGAUAUAAUCUACAAUGUUCAGACCACCAUACACAUGCAAAACUAGUGAAAGCACAAACAGCAGCAGCAACUCGUCUCUCCUCAGGAUAUUGUAAACAUGUAAAUCGUUGUUCAGUUUCUAACUCCCAAGUAAGAUAUAUAUCAGGAACAUAUCUACCCUCAAAUGGUGGAAUAUUCAAUUUCAGUUUAGGAAUAUGGACAUCAUCUCGUACCUGAGGUGGUGGUGCAGGCGUACCAUUACGAAUAUAUACCUGAGGUCGACCUGCUGGUGGUGGUGCAGGUGGCUGCACGUAGUGCUGAUUUUGAUCAACCUCAUCCUCAUAAUCUCCCACAUAAUCAUCCUCCUCCGCAUCAGCAGCAGGAGCCACAGAAGUAUCAACAGUAGCACCAACAGUUUGGCCAAACACAAGAGGAACACGGCUCGCUCGGCGAAGGUCCGUUUCGCGAUGUGGAGGUAGUCGUUGUUGUUGUUGUUG
rnacentral:lncRNA from 1 species